rnacentral:lncRNA from 1 species
CAACGCAAGCUCAAGAGGUAGCAAAAUUUCAUGCCUUUGAUGUUAGAGUGGAAUUUACUUGCCAGAGAUGCUACCUCGGUGAUGUCACCUCCUGGAGAUGAAGAGGAUCGCAUGGACUUGGAUGCUACAAACAUAGUCACCUCCCAACGAGGUAUAACAAACCAUCAUUCUAUUCUGUUUUCCGGAUAUAAUUGGUCGAUUGGACUAACUAACAUUGCCGACUAACAGCUAAGGACAUCAUCCAUGUGGAAGACGAUGAUGAACUGCACUGGUGGACUCCUGAGUUGUCUUCGGAACUUGGAGACUCGUCCCAGGCGAAAACUAGGCUUGAGAACCUAUAAUCGAAUGCCCCUCCAGUGAGUUCCACAAUUGAGACUCCAGCGUCGAUUGAACAACCUCCGGUAACUCCUCUAACUUCUGCCGUAGUNNNNNNNNNNNNNNNNNNNNNNNNNNNNNNNNNNNNNNNNNNNNNNNNNNNNNNNNNNNNNNNNNNNNNNNNNNNNNNNNNNNNNNNNNNNNNNNNNNNNCCGCCACGAGGCGGAACUUGAGCAGAACCAAUCUAGAGCUCCGGCAGGGCCGUCCUGCCGGGGAAACUUCCCUCCCGGAGGGGAAAUCGUCGCCAUCGUCAUCACCAACACUCCUCUCAUCAGAGGGGACUCAUCUCCAUCAACAUCUUCAUAAACACCAUCUCAUCUCCAAACCCUAGUUCAUCUCUUGUAACCAAUCUUCGUCUCUGGUUGGUACUUGUAAGGUUGCUAGUAAGUGUUAAUUACUCCUUGUAGUUGAUGCUAGUUGGUUUACUCCGUGGAAGAUCAUAUGUUCAGAUCCUUAACGCUAUUUAAUACCUCUCUAAUCAGGAACAAUAUUAUGCUUUGUGAGUAGUUACGUUUGUUCCUGAGGACAUGGGAUAAGUCUUGCUAUAAGUAGUCAUGUGAAUUUGGUAUUCAUUCGAUAUUUUAAUGCGUUGUAUGUUGACUUUCCUCUAGUGGUGUUAUGUGAACGUCGACUACAUAACACUUCACCAUUAUUUGGGCCUAGAGGAAAGCAUUGGGAAGUAAUAGGUAGAUGAUGGGUUGCUAGAGUGAGAGAAGCUUAAACCCUAGUUUAUGUGUUGCUUCGCAAGGCGCUGAUUUGGAUCCACCAGUUUAAUGCUAUGGUUAGACUUAGUCUUAAUUCUUCUUUUGUAGUUGCAGAUGCUUGCGAGAGGGGUUAAUCAUGAGUGGGAUGUUUGUCCAAGUAAGGAAAGCACCCAAGCACCAGUCCACCCACAUAUCAAACUAUCAAAGUAGCGAACGCGAAUCAUAUGAACAUGAUGAAAACUAGCAUGACAGAAACUCCCAUGUGUCCUCGGGAAUGCUUUACCUUAUAUAAGAGUUCGUCCAGGCUUGUCCCUUGCUACAAAAGGGAAUGGGCCAUCUUUCUGCACCAUUGUUACUAUUUUUACUUGCUACCCGUUACUAAUUAUCUUAUCACACAACCAUAUGUUACUGAUAAUUUCAGUGCCUGCAGAGAAUACCUUGCUGAAAACCAAUUGUCAUUUCCUUCUGCUCCUCGUUGGGUUCGACAGUCUUCCUUAUCCAAAGGACUAGGAUAGAUCCCCUCUACUUGUGGGUCAUCAGACCCUACCUGUCGGCGGCCGUCUCGUCCCCCGCUCUUUCCCCGCUUUCACUAGCCACACGGCCCCGCACGUCAGGUCUAAACCUGACGAUGCGCGCCCCUGGGCUGGUUGGGUGGCUGGCCGGUUGGCCAACUGGGCCGGCCCAGCUGCUGGCCAAGCCAGGCCAGUAAGCUGGACUUUUCCCUUUAUUUUAUUUUUAGGUUUUUAAAAUAAAUCCACAGGAUUAAAUAUUUAUCCAAACUUAUUUAUUUCUCCACCAUAAUUCUUGUAAAAGNNNNNNNNNNNNNNNNNNNNNNNNNNNNNNNNNNNNNNNNNNNNNNNNNNNNNNNNNNNNNNNNNNNNNNNNNNNNNNNNNNNNNNNNNNNNNNNNNNNNCAAGUCGCCACAACCUUCAUAACACCAUACGGGUCAUUAUAUUACAACACAAUGCCUUUCGAAAAUAAGAAUGUUGGCGCCACAUACCAACACAUCAUCCAAAUAUGCCUAGAAAAACAAAUUGGCAAAAGAGUGGAAGCAUAUGUGGAUGAUGUGGUUGUCAAAACAAGAAACAUCAACCACCUGGUUGACGACCUUCACAAAACAUUCGCUAGCCUAGAAGUAUAUAAAAAAUCUCAAUAAGGAGAAGUGUUUCUUAGUAGUACAUGUGGGUAAACUNAGUACAUGUGGGUAAACUUCUUGGGUUUAACAAAUCCCGUAGAGGGAUAGACUCUAACCUUUAUGAAAUCUGAGCCCUAGCUCGAAUAGAGGUGACCAUCGAAUUGAAACCCAUCCAAAGGCUGGCAGGAUGUGUGGGUGCUCUGAGCCAAUUUAUCUUUCGCCUCGGGGAUAAAGAUUUAACUCUCUAUAAGCUUGUGAAGCAAACCAAAAAAAUUAAAUGGACAAAUGAGACAGGCACCGCUCUGGAAGAGAUUAAGUCCCUACUUGCCACUAAGCCAAUAAUUGUUGCACCUGCAUGUAGUGACGCGAUAUUACUAUACAUAGUGGCUACAAACCAGGCCGUCAAUAUGGUCCUUAUUAUCGAUCGCAACAUGUAAGGCCAUAAAUUCCAGGUCCAAAUACAUGUAUACUAUGCUUUCGAGUUGCUCACUCUGUGCAAAGCGAGGUAGCCUCACUAUUGAAAGAUAGCAUAUGCAAUAUCCAAGGCAUCUCAAAAACUGAGGCAUUACUUUCAGGAAUGCUCGGUCAUCUUCGCGUCCGAGGUUCACCUUAAUGAUAUAAUAAAAUACAGGGAUGCCACGGGACAACUCGCCAAAUGGGAAAUAGAACUUCUGCCCUUCGAAACUGCAUGUUGCCAUCCGAGAUAUUAAAUUAUAGGUACUAGUCAACUUCAUGGAAAAAUAUACGGAGGUAAAGCUCCCUCGAGAGCAUAGUACAUACUCUCAUUGGGCCAAUGUACUUUGACGACCCCAAAAUGCUCGCUGGAUUAGGAUCUAGAGUGGUCCUUACAUCAACUGUCGACGACAAUACUCAGUAUGUACUACAUAUCAUGUACACUGACUCGAACAAUGUUCCUGAGUAUUAGGCACUUCUGCAUGGCCUGUGGAUAGGAAGUUCAAUGGGAGUCUCAUGCAUGGAAGUCCGAGGUGAUUAUAACCUCGAAUCUCGCAAGUUGUCAGUGAGUUUGACGCAAAGGACCCCAAAAUGGCCACAUACGAGAAUGCAGUUUUGACGAUCUCAAUCCAGUUUGAGGGACUAGAUCUUCACCAUAUCUCGAGGGAUAACAAUCAAGCUCCGGUGCUUCCUCACCAGGAUGGGUNNNNNNNNNNNNNNNNNNNNNNNNNNNNNNNNNNNNNNNNNNNNNNNNNNNNNNNNNNNNNNNNNNNNNNNNNNNNNNNNNNNNNNNNNNNNNNNNNNNNUUGUAGUCCACAUGUAACAGAAGGAGCACAACCGGUUGGUUACUUGCCGAUUUCUGGCAGCACACGCCCUUCAUCCUGGCGGCGCUACAGAUCGGAUCAGCGCUCCUCCUCCCCGCGUCUGAACGCAGGACCAGCGGCCGCCGCGCCGGACUCUGGUCGGCUGUGACUGCGAGCCUCGCCACCGGCACUAUCACCGGGGGGAAUACUUGUGUCUCUCGGCGUCUGGCCCAUGCACGGGGCCUCGGCCGGAGACCCACGGCGGCGUCCAUCUCCUCUCCCUCCGGCUUGACGAGAUGGCUCGCUAGAAGAAAAAUCUAUUCGUCGCUACAUCAACCAGUGCAACUUAACUGAAAUGCAUUAUGCGGGUAAUGACUACCAACUUCUCCUUGUGGGGNUCUCCUUGUGGGGAAUACCUGCAAAUAAGCAUAAAAUACGGUAGACUAAAAUUGCACUAAUGACAAUCUAGCAGUUGAUCCACUAAUACUCCCUCCAUUCAUAUAUAUAAGUCUUUUUAGACAUUUCAACAAGGGACUACAUACGGAACAAAAUGAGUGAACCUACACAUUAAAAUUUCUCUAUAUACAUCCGUAUGUAGUUUCUUAUUGAAAUGUCUAAAAGGACUUAUAUUUAGGAACAGAGGGAUUAGAUGGUAUGCAUGCCGGGAAAUAUAGAGAAACUACAAGUCCUUUAGUCUACACAAUAUACAACCACUAAUAUAUGGUAUGCACGCAGGGAAACAUAGAUCUACUACAAGUCCUUUAGCCUACACAAUGCAGGGGAAGGAAAAGUGCAUGUACGAGCUAGUAAUAGAUACAAGGCUUGUACAUGCUAUGGUGUCACAAUAUUUUAUCAAGCAGCAUGAGUUGUCAAUGGUACGUAACCACGCAGAAAAUUAAAAGACGAACAUCAGGCAAUGAAAAGGAAGGUUGAAACUAUCUUCCUAGGAUUAUAGCAUUGCGCCAAAACUCAUAGCCACGUACAAUGCGGAGCCAAACCAAGGUUCCAUGAUGCGGCGCCAUGCUACGUCCACACGUUGCUCUAAGUUGAGCCCUCUUAUUGCACAAUAUAGAGGUCGGAGCACAGUUUCCAAGUCUUGGCAUUCUCUAAGGAUGUGUCAAAUACACACAUGAAUAUACUAACAAAAAAGCAUCAACAUGGAUCUGCUAUUUUUCCCAGGAUUACAGCAUUGGACCAAAACUCACAGCUACGUCCAUUCUCCUACGAUGCGUAGCCAAACCAAAGGUUCUAUGACACGGCGGCAUGCUGCGUCCACACGUUGCCUUAAACCUAGCCCUCUUAUUGCACAAUAUAGCGAUCAAAAAUAUAGUUUCCAAGUCUUGGCAUUCUCUAAGGACUAAGGAGUGUGUCCAAUACACGCAAGAAUAUACCAACAAAAAGCAUCAACAUGGAACUGCUUAUUUCCUUUGUCUGUUUUUUGUGACUACGAAGCUGCUUCAGAAGAUCAGCACUAGUACCACAAAGUAGGGAGCUGGGANNNNNNNNNNNNNNNNNNNNNNNNNNNNNNNNNNNNNNNNNNNNNNNNNNNNNNNNNNNNNNNNNNNNNNNNNNNNNNNNNNNNNNNNNNNNNNNNNNNNACAUCUAUAGGAACACAUAGAGAUUUCUAAAGCGCACACGGAACUGAAAGGUUUAGACCUCCUGACUAAAAACCUCUCCCACAAGAAAGACAUGAUCGAACCCCACAACUGUAUGGGUGUUAGAUUCAUUACAAUCACAUAGUAAUGUGAACUAGAUUAUUGACUCUAGUGCAAGUGGGAGACUGUUGGAAAUAUGCCCUAGAGGUAAUAAUGAAAUGGUUAUUGUUAUAUUUCCUUGUUCAUAAUAAUCAUUUAUUAUCCAUGCUAGAAUUGUAUUGAUUGGAAACUCAAAUACAUGUGUGGAUACAUAAAUUACACACGUACUGUCCCUAGUGAGUCUCUUGUUGACUAGCUCGUUGAUCAAAGAUGGUCAAAGUUUCCUGGCCAUAGAAAAGUGUUGUCACUUGAUAAUGAGAUCACAUCAUUAGGAGAAUGAUGUGAUGGACAAGACCGAAAUUAUAAACAGAGCAUAUGAUCGUCGUAGUUUAUUGCUACUGUUUUCUUCAUGUAAAUGUAUCUGUUCCUAUGACCAUGAGAUCAAGCAUCUCCUGGACACCAGAGGAAUACCUUGUGUGUAUCAAACGUCGGAACGUUUCUGGGUGACUAUAAAGGUGCUUUGCAGGUAUCUCCGAAGGUGUCUAUUGGGUUGGCAUAGAUAAAUACUAGAAUUUGUCACUCCGUGUAACGGAGAGGUAUCUCGGGGGCCACUCAGUAAUACAACAUCACAACAAGCCUUGCAAGAAAUGUGACUAAAGAGUUAUCCACGGGAUCUUAUAUUACGGAACGAGUAAAGACACUUGUUGGUAACGAGACUGAACUAGGUAUGGAGAUACCGACGAUCAAAUCUUGGGCAAGUAACAUAUGGAAGGACAAAGGGAACAACAUACGGGAUUAACUUAAUCAUUGACAUAGAGGUUCAACCGAUAGAUAUAUUCGUAGAAUAUGAAGGAGAGAAUAUAGACAUCCAGGUCUCGAUAUUAGUUAUUGACCGGGGAGUGUCUCAGGUCAUGUAUGCAUAGUUCUCGAACCCGGAGGGUCUACACACUUAAGGUUCGGUGAUGUCUCGGUAUAGUUGAGUUAUAGGUGUUGGCGAUUGAAGUUUGUUUGGAGUCCCGGAUGAGAUCUGGAUAUCACGAGGAGCUCCAGAAUGGUCUGGAGGUACAGAUUGAUAUAUAGGAAGUCCUGUUUUGGUCAUCGGAAAGGUUUCAGACUCAUCGGUAGUGUACCGGGAGUGUCGGGAGGGUACCGGGGGCCAUCGGGAGGGGUGUAUCGACCCAAAAGACCUCAUGGGCUAUGGGAGGAGUCAAACCAGCCCAUAGUGGUCUGGCCAAACCAACCAAUAAGGCCCAUGCGGAGAGAGGUGGGAAAAACCCAAAGGAUGGGAAGGAUUCCAAGUAGGAAAGGAAUCCUACUAGGACUAGGAUUGGAGGUGGACUCUUCCACCUCCACCUAGUUCGGCCGAACCCCUAGAGGGUUUUUUGGCUGCCUCCUCCCCUCCCUCCCAACUAUAUAUACUAGAGGAUUUAGAGGGAAGAGCAGACCCUAAUUGCCACGUGCUCCCUCUACUUCUCUCUAUAUCUGUUUCUCCUCUAGUCUAGUUCGGUGGUGCUUAGGCGAAGCCCUGUCNNNNNNNNNNNNNNNNNNNNNNNNNNNNNNNNNNNNNNNNNNNNNNNNNNNNNNNNNNNNNNNNNNNNNNNNNNNNNNNNNNNNNNNNNNNNNNNNNNNNACCCUUCCGGUUGUCUCGGUACAUUACCGGUGAUACCCGAAACACUUCCGGCGAUCAAAUUCUCACUUCAUAUAAAUGAAUAUUUACCUCCGGACCAUUCCGGAGCUCCUCAUGACAUCCGGGAUCUCAUCCGGGACUCCGAACAACCUUCGGUAACCGCAUACUAUUCCAAUAAUUACCCUAGCGUCGUCGAACCUUAAGCGUGUAGACCAUACGGGUUCGAGAACCAUGCAGACAAGACCAAGACACCUCUCCGGUCAAUAACCAACAAAGGGGUCUGGAUAGCCAUGUUGUUUCCCACAUGUUCCACGAUGAUCUCAUCGGAUGAACCACGAUGUCGGGGAUUCAAUCAAUCAUGUAUGCAAUUUCCUUUGUCUACCAGUAUGAUACUUGCCCGAGAUUCAAUAGUCGGCAUCCCUAUACCUUGUUCAGUCUUGUUACCGACAAGUCUCUUUACUCGUUCCGUAACACAUCAUCCCGUGACUAACUCCUUAGUCACUUUGAGCUCAUUAUGAUGAUGGAUUUCCGAGUGGGCCCAGAGAUACCUCACCAUCACACGGAGUGACAAAUCCCAGUCUCGAUUCGUACCAACCCAACACACACUUUCGGAGAUACCUGUAGUGCACCUUUAUAAUCACCCAGUUAUGUUGUGAAGUUUGAUACACCCAAAGUACUCCUACGGUAUCCGGCAGUUGCACAAUCUCAUGGUCUAAGGAAAUAAUACUUGACAUUACAAAAGCUUUAGCAGACGAACAAUACGAUCUACUGAUAUGUUCAAGAUUGGGUCUUGUCCAUCACAUAAUUCCCCAAUGAUGUGAUAUCGUUAUCAAUGAAAUCCAAUGUCCAUGAUCAGGAAACCAUAAUCAUCUAUUGACACAUGUAUUACAGUUUCCGAUUAAUACAAUUAUAGGAUGAAUAAUAGACAAUUAUCAUGAACUAGCAAAUAUAAUAAUAACCACUUUAUUAUUGCCUCUACGGCAUAUUUCCAACAGUAUCAGCAUCCCCAAGCUUAAUUCCUGCUCAUCCUAUAGUAGGUAAAUGAUAAAAGCACAAUUUUUUAUAUGGAAUGCUACCUAACAUAUUUAUCCAUGUAAUAUUCUCUAUUGUGGCAUGAAUAUUCAUAUCCAUAAGAUUCAAAACAAAAGUCUAAUAUUGACAUAAAAACAAUAAUACCUCAAGCAUACUAAUAAUAUAAUUGCUUCCUUUCGAAAUAACAUGGUCUUAGAAAGUUAUUCCUACAAAAUCAUAUGGUCUGGCUAUGCUCCAUCUCUUCACCACACAAAGUAUCUAAAUCAUGCACAAUCCCGAUGAAAAUCAAGCAAUUGUUUCACACGUUUUAUGUUCUUAAAGCUUUUUAACUCUCAGGCAAUACAUGAGCAUGAGCCAAGGAUAUAGCACUAUAGGUGGAAUAGAGUGUGGUGGAGGUUACAAAAAAAGGAGAGGAUAGUCUCACAUCAACUACGCAUAUCAACGGGCUAUGGAGAUGCCCAUCAAUAGAUAUUAAUGUGAGUGAGUAGGGAUUACCAUGCAAGAAAUGCACUAGAGCUAUAAAUGUAUGGAAGCUCAAAAUGAAAACUAAGUAGUUGUGCAAAAGAUGUAAUCCCACUAGUUAUAUGAAAGUGACAAAAUAGGAGACCCUCUAUGAAGAACAUGGUGCUACUUUGAGGUACAAGUGUGGAANNNNNNNNNNNNNNNNNNNNNNNNNNNNNNNNNNNNNNNNNNNNNNNNNNNNNNNNNNNNNNNNNNNNNNNNNNNNNNNNNNNNNNNNNNNNNNNNNNNNCAAUUCCAAGUGCUCAAAUAGAUUAUGCAAUGGACAUGGUACUGCAUUCCUAUACCAAUCCAAGGCCUUUUUUCUUCCUAUGAAUCUGAUCAAGGGGUUCAUCAAUCCCAUGAAUCCUUAGUGGACCCAUCACUCCUACAAACCCAAUAUCGAUGGUGUUUUACAUGAUCACCUAGAGUCCUCAUAAUCCACAUAUUGUUGCAAGGACUACGUCAUAGUGUAUCCACCAACCUCCAAUAUCAUGGCCAACUAAUCCCCAAGGUCAAGCUUAUAUAGGUUCGUAAAUCAAUUCGACAACUCCAUGUACUUGUACUUGUUAUCCAUCGAGAAACAGGGUAUGAAGAUCGACAUCUUCGGACUAAAUCCAAUUUAUUCUGAAUCAUGUGGUCCCUUUCAUCAUUGAUACUCUCUUGAGAUCACUUGCUAAACCCAAAUCUCAUCUCCAACAAGGACUCUUACUCGUCACCCUUAGUCAUCAUGGUAACAUCAUCAAACCAUGACUUCUACUUUAUCAACAUGCUCCACCAAGUUCACCUACCAUCGUAGGGUUCAUGAUCCACCAAGAUAGUCUAGCUAUAUCCCCGAGACACCUAUCAUCAUCACAACAAACCGUGGUCUACAAAUCACAUAUCCGAGAACGGUCACUCCUAUGGCAUCCAGUUUCUAGUGGUAGCUUUAAAAAUGAUGGAUACUUGUCCACUGUGAUCACUUGUUCCAUACAGAACCUAGUGUUAAGUAGGGGUUACCGGUGCUCAGUGGGUGCUCUAGCAAAUCCGUGUAUUAGACACGUGACCGGAAAUUUGAGCUUGGAAGCUUGUGAGGUUUAGGUUGGUCUAGGGAGGGUCAUCCAAUCUUGAGAGAGGAUCAUGGUGCCAUAGGGGUGCGUCUGGUUGACUACGUUGUAGUCGUAGUCUUCCGUGCCAGUCGUCUGUCGGGGUGGAUCCUUGGUUCAUCUUAUCUUGCUGGUCUCUAUUUGUCGAGAAAGGUGAGAGAGAGAGAGGAUAGCAGCAUAGAGGGAAGUGCCUAAGGGAGCGUAGUAUAGUGCAAGUGCAAUCAAACAAGUACCGAUAAGUCAAUUCAAACAUCAUGGUGAGGCAGGUGAUAUAAUCGCGUGCUUGUCUCCUAGAGAAAAAGCACAACUUAUAUUAAAGCACAAUCAAACAAAACAAGCAACACACAACUUGGUUCCAUCUGAAUCAUUUCACGGACUCGACUUCGUAUAGCGGAUUCACAACUCAUCCUACCAUAGGGGUUCUCAGACUCGACAGUUGUGCUUGCGUCGUGCUUCAGAGAGGAGUCCGCUCCGUCUUUUGGACCUUCUCAUGGUGUCGUUGUUUCCUUGCUGUUGUUUUCCGAAACGAGUUGGGUUGGCCGAAAAGAGUCCUUGACGACUUCUCAUCUGGUGAGCCACCGAGGAAGGUGGUUCCUCAUGGUUGUCCUUGAUAGGGUCUUCUGUUGUCUUAGUAAUCUUGUCAUUGUCUGCUUGUCUUCCAAGGCACCAAGAGUUCCAAGUGGACAUCCUUUAUACAAUGAGAUCAGCAAGGCAUGAUAGAGUUCUGACCUAUCAGUCAUGUUGAUCACAAUAUCAACACCUUGAGCGGGGGAUGAAGAGAACUGUUUUCCUGCUCACUAAGGUGAGGUGGAACAAAUGGCAGGCUCUCAUCCGUCGGUGGUGGUCGACACAACAUUGAUAUUGANNNNNNNNNNNNNNNNNNNNNNNNNNNNNNNNNNNNNNNNNNNNNNNNNNNNNNNNNNNNNNNNNNNNNNNNNNNNNNNNNNNNNNNNNNNNNNNNNNNNCCCCAGAGCGCCAAGAGUGGAGAAUAGGAUUCCUACUGGGCGUGGAUGGCGUCUGGGGGGCUUGUGGAAGAAGAUUCCUUCAUUUUGUUCCCGUGCAAUCGACGUAGCCCGAUGGGGCGUAAAAAGCAUCUUGUGUGAUACUAUUAUGAUUUAAGCACCUAAAACCCCUGCACAUUUCUGAUAUGUCUCCAAUGUAUCUAUAGUUUUUGAUUGUUCCAUGCCUUUAUAUUAUCAUUCUAAGAUACUUUUUGAGUAAUAAUUUACCAAUUUAUAUUAUAUAUAAGCACUAACAUAUUGACCAAGUGCCAAGUGCCAAUUGUUGUUUUCUGCAUGUUUUUUAUUUUUAAGGUUUAUAGUAACAAACGAAGUCCAAUUACUCCCAAAAUUUUUUAUGAUUUUUUCUAGACCAAAAGAAAAGCUGGAAGCCUUGGGAGAAGACUAGAGGCCAUACUAGGGAGGCACAAGCCAACAGAGUGCGACGAGGGGGGUCGGUGCACCGUGAUGGCUUAACCCGCCCUGGUAACCCCUCUAGCCCCAUUCUCUGGCCUAUAAAUUCACAUAUAUUCCAAAAACCCUAAGGACAUCGUGAAACACUUUUUCUGCUACCACAAGCCUCUGCCCACGGCAAUCCCAUCUGGAGCUUCGUUCCGGCACCCUGUCGGAGGGGGUCGAUCAUAUAGGGGCUCUUCAUCAGCCUUGUUGCCCUCGUGAUGAUGUGUGAGUAGCUCACCACAGACCUACGGGUCCGUAGUUAGUACCUAGAUGGCUAUCUCUUUCUCUCUCUCUUGAUCUUCAAUAUAAUGAUUAUCGCAUUUGACUUUGAUCUAUCUUUUGUAAUUCUUUUGUAUGGUGCAUUUGUCGGGGUCUGAUGAAUUGUGGGUUUAUAAAUUAUUCAUGGGAAGUACUUCAGUCUUCUCUAAAAUUAUUAUGAUUCUUAAUUGCAUGAUCAUCAUAGCUUUGUAAUUCUAUCUGAUCUAUUGAAUUGCUUUGGCCAAGUAGUUGGGUAUUUCUUCAGUGCGAGGAGUGUGUUGUACUGGGUACAACCUGAUGAGAUUUUAUAUCCCCAUGACACAAGGGGCAAGAUAUGUCUUUUUGUUCUUGCUACUAAGGAUAAAAAGAUGGGAUUUAUUUGUAUUGAUUGAGUUUACUUUAUCUACAUCAUGUCAUCGUUCUCCCAGCAUUACUUAGUUUUUCAUGAACUUAAUACAUAGAGAGGCAAACAUAGAAACACUCUUGAAGUGGAGUAAUAGUAGUAGGUGCACGCAACAGUCGGCCUAUUUUAUUAUGGACGUGAUGCCUAUAUACACAUGAUCAUUGUCGUGAGAAUCACAUAACUAUGUGCUUUUCUGCCGAUUGCCCAAUAGUAAUUUGAUUACCUACCGUAUGUUGCUUACAUGAGGGAUGCCACCAAAAACACUAUGUUUCCGUAUCUAUUUACUUAUAUAUUCACAAAACAUAUCUUUACUUUGUUAUUCUUAUUUGUCUUCUAUUUUAGUUUUCAAGUUACAAUUGUCUACAGUUAUCUUCACACCUCAUUCGCUUGCCAAUAAUGAGAUCAAGGGGAUUGACAACCCUGUUGCCCCCGUUGGGUGAAGUUGUUUUCUCUUUUAUGUGCAACAGUUGAAGAUAGUCGAGUAGUUAUAUUCCUAUUGGUUCGAUAAACCUUGGUUUCUUAACUGAGGGAAAUACUUACGCGUAUUGUGCUACNNNNNNNNNNNNNNNNNNNNNNNNNNNNNNNNNNNNNNNNNNNNNNNNNNNNNNNNNNNNNNNNNNNNNNNNNNNNNNNNNNNNNNNNNNNNNNNNNNNNGUGUUGAUCUAGUUAACCAGUUGAUAAGUGAGUGGUAUACCAAAGCCAAAUGUGUGAGUGGUUUCUAAAAAACGGAUUAGAUUUAAGAUUUGACGACCGUUCCAACCUUACAUGUACAACCACAUUACCCCUUAUUGGACGGGGCUUUGCUGAUUAAUGUGGUCGGUGCUAGUAGAGAUCCUCCAUUACUAGUGGCGGGAGUGAAGUGGUCACUCUCGAGACUGGGUCGCGCCAAGAAAGGGCGACCAUGGGAUGUUUUCACAAUCACCGGACACACCAUUUAAUGCCCUCGUGGAUGAUACGUGUGAUGUACAUCACAAGGGAUUGUCACUAAUGAGUGGUGUCUUGGGAAAGGUGAUGUUCGGGUACUUAACUCGGGUACGAGAAAUGUCGCGAGUCGUGUCCUGAGACGGAUGUUUCCCGAGUCUUGUGGGUAAAGUGUGCGACCUCUACAAAGUGUAAAACUAUUUGAAUAGCCAUGUCCACUGUCAAGGAAAGUUGGCUGGUGCUUCUUGAACUACGUCUAGGAGUUUUCACGUAAACCAAGUGUGUGUGUGGGAGGGGGGGAUGGUGCUAAGAUGCAUGAUCAGCUAUGUCAGAUGAUUUGGCAUGAAGGGUGAACAAGGGUUCUUCAACCCUCAGUUGAGACUGAAAUAUGUAACCUGUUCAACUGGUUAUCACUUAUGUUAUGAUGCAUGACACACAAGAAGUCGAUCAUGUUAUUGCACUAGGGAAAACUCUGCUUUCCGCAAAUUUCCUAUUAGUAUCAUAUCAUGUUUCAUUAUUGCCUUGUUGCCCAUCUUGGGUUGCUUGCGAGUACAUUCAAAGUACUCAUUGGCUUGCCACUGGUUAUUUAAUUGGUCAGACAUGGAAUAGCAGUAAUUUGAAGAAGAGAACAUGCGAACUAGGACGCUACCCUUUUAGAAUGCUUGUAGUUAGGGUAGAUGGCAUGGGUUCACGCUUUCAUUCAAGAUGUUCGUUGUUAGUUGUGUUUGCUGUGUUGGCUUUCAAGGCCCUAUCUAUGUAAGAAUUUGUCUUAAUGGUCCUUAUUUGUAUCAUACAGUAUGUAUGGAUGUAAAACUCUUGUUAUUCAGCUUCUGUGUGUUCAGUGAGCUUUGAUAUAUGGGGUCACUUGACACGUGCAUUCGUUGAUCACAACUUGCAAGUCGAGGUCACCACGAGAUCAAGUGGGAGAAUGCCGGGAGAUGAAAUUAUGGUACCGAGAAAGCUACGUCGGAGAUACCUAUUUUGGACAUCUCCAACUAGGCUGUAGAUUUACCAAGAUUUGUUUUAUAAAAAAAAAUAUUGCAGCGAAGAAGUACCACAAGGGGGCUACCAGGCACCCACUACACACUAGGGCGCUAGAGGACCCCCUAGCACGACCUGAUGUCUAGUGGCCCCCCUGGCCCACCUUUGACGAUCAUCUUCUGGUAUAAAAUCACUCUUACCCUAAAAAAUUAAGAGGAGGACUUUUGGGACAAAGUGUCGCCGUCUCGUGGCAGAACCUGGGUAGGAGCACUUUUACUAUCCGGUGGAGCGAUCCCGCUAGAGGAACUUCACUCAUGGAGGGGGAAAUCGAGGCCAUCGUCAUUACCAACAACCCUGUCAUCUUGGGAGGCCAAUAUUCAUCAGCACCAUAUCCUCUCACAACACUAGUUCAUCUCUUGUACUCAAUCAUGAACGGGAGCCUCGGAUUGGUACCUGGGGUNNNNNNNNNNNNNNNNNNNNNNNNNNNNNNNNNNNNNNNNNNNNNNNNNNNNNNNNNNNNNNNNNNNNNNNNNNNNNNNNNNNNNNNNNNNNNNNNNNNNGGUCAACGUCCAACUCCUUCCAACAUCAUCAUUCAUGAAAGGAAAGUGGCGAGUGGCCGGUUCAUCGGCCAUCUCACGAAGGAUCUCACAAAGGUGGAUGAGCGCCUUCCGCGCCGCUCUCUCGACUACUAACACCAGUGCCUCCAUGUGUGGUCCUUCAAAGAACCAACUUGUUAGGGAGUCAUUUUCUUUCACGACCAUAUGAACGUGGUACUCCUAUGUGGUGGCAUUGACCCAAUGAUCGUGGUACAGGAAAAUGGGUGAUCGACGAAUCUCACACUUCUCCAGGUUGUCCGCAAGGAGUAGGGGAAAUUUAGAUGCUAGGAGGUUUUUGGGUACGAUGGCCAUCUACAAGGUUUAAGGAGAGUGUGUCAUGAAAGAGUUUGAAAAAUGGAGUGGAAGAGGCAAGAAAUGUAGAAACUCCAAAGCAUAGAGGCUAGGUAUAGUUUUUGGAAGGGGGUUCAUUCUAUCCGACGUACUUGCUAGAUAAGGCUUCCUACGGUUAGGAUGGCUCUGAUACCAGCUCUGUGGGGACCCUAACUUGUAGUCCUGAUAACUGAAGGCACGUGUCCAGUGAUCCUAGAGAUCAAUGCUCAGUAAACACCCAGAAGCUGAAUAACAAGAGUCUUACAUCCGUACAUACAAUUUUAUACAAAUAAGGCCCAUGAUGGACAAGUCUUACAUACACAGGGUGUCGAAGGCCGACACACCGAACACAACAAACAAUGACCAUCUUGAAUGAAAGUGUGAACCCAUGCCAUCUGCCUUAACCUAUAGACAUUCUGACUAGGAAGUGUCCUAGUUCGCAUGUUCAUCACCGACGAACUCUUUUCAAAAUUCCUGAUCUUCCAUGCGUGGCCAAUUAAAUAAUCAUCGCAGGCCAAUGAGUACUUUGAAUGUACUCGCAAGAAACCCAUUAUGCGGAACAAGGAAAUAAUGAAACAUGAUAUGAUACUAAUAGGCAAUUGGCAGAAAACGGACACUACUAGGGAAAACCCUAGUAGUAGCGCUGGUUUUACCCUUAAUAGUAGCGAUGGGGCCAGCGCUACUGCUAACGUGCUACAGCUAACUCUCAGCAGUAGCGUUGGAUUGAAAGUGCUACUCGUAUCUAUGUUAGUAGUAGUGCUGGUAUAAGUAGAGCGCUACUUCUAAUAUUCCAGGGCUACUGCUAAUAUUCCAGCGCUGCUGCUAAUAUUCCUGCUUUUAAUAUUUAAUUCGCAUCGUAUUUAUGUCCCCCCUAUGUAUUUGUGCAUGCUCUAUACAGUGGUUUCAUCAUAUCAUAAUAAACAUGCAUAAUUUGUACCACGUCAUACACAUAAAGUACUCCCUCUGUCCCUAAAUUCUUGUCUUUAGAUACAUCCAUUUCUAGACAAAGCUAAGACAAGAAUUAUGGGACAAAGGGAGUAUCAUGUCAUAUAACUCAUCAUCUUAAGUACUCAUCUAACAACUCAUCAUCAUCUUAAUCAUAUACCAAGUUAUCAUAAUAUCCACAUAUAGUAAAACAACGAAACAUCAUAAUAGUCAUCAUAUGACCUAAUCGAUCAUGUCAAGUUAAUAUAAACCAGAAGAACUUGUCUCUCAUAAGACCUAGUCCUCGUUCUUAGGUAUAAUGUCAUAAAACAUAAUAACACCAAUGUCUACAUGAUGAAGCACAGAGGUCCAACGGUCUCCAACUUGUGGCUUGCGCUCCUUCUUUAUUUCUCUCCAUGCUUCAAUUUGGAGCCUUUUUUAUUUUGAUUUGAGCUUACUAGAGUAUGGAGCAUCGAACUCAGCCCUCACGGGGCUGUUAAUUUUCAUUUGACCUUCUUGGUGAAUCAAUAGAGGCACUACAUCAUGUGGCAGUUGCUGUUGAAGAACAUAAUAAUAACCUAGUUAGCAAGGUAAUCAACACCAUUUAUGCAAUAGUAGAGCGUACUUAAUUAGGAAACUCUUACCAAGAUAUUUCGGUGAAUGUCAUCCGGCCUCAACCUAUGCACUAGUGGCAUGUAAAAUUUAUAAUUUUNNNNNNNNNNNNNNNNNNNNNNNNNNNNNNNNNNNNNNNNNNNNNNNNNNNNNNNNNNNNNNNNNNNNNNNNNNNNNNNNNNNNNNNNNNNNNNNNNNNNAUCACCGUUGAGGAUUUGUGUAAGUAAGAUGUGAUCAUACUAGAUAGCCAUAGCAGCCACGUAAAACAUGCAACAAGAAAUUAGAGGACGUCUAACUUGUUUUUGUAGGGUAUGCAUGUGAUGUGAUAUGGCCGAAGACAUGAUGUGAUAUAUUGGAUGUAUGAGAUGAUCAUGUUCUAAUAGUUCAAUAUCGACUUGCACGUUGAUGCUACGGAAACUGGCAGAAGCCAUAGGGUUGUCUUUAAACUAAUAUUUGUGCUUGCAGAUGCGUUUACUAUAUUGCUAGGUUGUAGCUUUAGUAGUGAUAGCAUAGAUAGCACGACAACCUCGAUGGAGGCACAAUGAUGGAGAUCAUGGUGUGGCGCCAGUGACGAUGAAGAUCAUGUCGGUGCUUUGAUGAUGGAGAUCAACAAGCACAAGAUCAAGGCCAUAUCAUGUCACUUAUGAAUUGCAUGUGAUGUUAAUCCUUUUUUGCACCUUAUUUUGUUUAGAACGACGGUAGCAUUAUAAGGUGAUCCCUCACUAAAAUUUCAAGAUGAAAUUGUGUUCUUCUCGACUGUGCACCGUUGCGACAGUUCGUCCUUUCGAGACACCACGUUAUGGUCGGGUGUGAUAGACUAAAAAUUCACAUACAACGGGUGCAAAACAUUUGCACACGCGGAACACUAGGGUUAAACUUGACGAGCCGAGCAUGUAUAGACAUGGCCUCGGAACACAAGAGACCGACAGGUCAAUCAUGAAUCAAAUAGUUGAUAUGAUCAACAUGGAUAUGUUCACCACUGAAACUAUACUCAACUCAUGUGAUGAUCGGACUUGAGAUAGUGGAUUUGGAUCAAGCGCCACUCGAAUGACUAUAGGGCUGUCUAUUGUGAGUGGGAGUUAUUAGUAAUAUGAUUAGCUAAACUCAAUUAUCAUGAACAUAGUCCAAUGGUAUUUGCAAAUUAUGUUAUAGCUUGCGUUGUAGCUCUACUGUUUUUGAUAUGUUACUAGAGAAAAUUUAGUUGAAAGAUGAUAGUAGCAAUUAUGCGGACUUGGUCCGUAAACUGAGCAUUCUCCUCAUUGUUGCGCAGAAGGCUUAUGUCCUUAAUGCACCUCUCGGUGUGAUGAACCUCGAGCAUCGUCUGUGGAUGUUGCGAACAUCUGACAUACACGUUUUUUGAUGACUACAUGAUAGUUCAGUGCGUAAUGCUUAAAAGGCUUAGAAUUGAGGCACCGAAGACGUUUUGAACGUCACGGAACAUGCGAGAUGUUCCAAGAGAUGAAAUUGGUUUUUCAUGCUUGUGCCCUUGUUGAGAGGUAUGAGACCUCCAACAAGAUUCUUUGUCUACAAAGUAAGGGAGAAAAGCUCAAUCGUUAAGCAUGUGCUCAGAUUGUGUGGGUGCUACAAUCACUUGAAUCGAGUGGGACUUAAUCUUCCAGAUGAGAUAGUGAUGGUUCUCCAAAGUCACUGCCACCAAGCUACUAGAUCUUCGUGAUGAACUAUAACAUAUCAAGGAUAGAUAUGAUGAUCCUUAAGCUAUUCAUGAUGUUUGACAUCGCGAAAGUAGAAAUCAAAUAGGAGCAUCAAUUGUUGAUGGUUAGUAAAACCACUAGUUUCAAGAAGGACAAGGGCAAGAAGGGUUACUUCAUAAAACGGCAAACCAGUUGCUGCUCUAGAGAAGAAACCCAAGGUUGAACCCUAACCCGAGACUAAGUGCAUUUGUUAUGAGGGGAACAGUCACUGAGGCAGAACUACCCUAGAUACUUGGUAGAUGAGAAGGCUCGCAAAGUCGACAAAAGUAUAUUGGCUAUACCUGAUAUUGAUGUGUACCUUACUAGUACUCCUAGUAGCACCAUGGUAUUAGAUACUGGUUCGUUGCUAAGUGUUAGUAACUCGAAAUUAUAGCUACGGAUUAAAUGGAUACUAGCAAGGGUGAGGUGACGAUGUGUGUUGGAAGUACUUCUAAGGUUGAUGUGAUCAAACAUCGCACGCUCCCUCUACCAUCGGGAUUAAUGUUAAACCUAAAUAAUUGUCAUUUGGUGUUUGUGUUGAGAAUGAACAUGAUUAGAUAGUGUUUAUUGCAAUACAAUNNNNNNNNNNNNNNNNNNNNNNNNNNNNNNNNNNNNNNNNNNNNNNNNNNNNNNNNNNNNNNNNNNNNNNNNNNNNNNNNNNNNNNNNNNNNNNNNNNNNCCCUAGGCGUGGGGGCACCGCCUCCUCCUGUUUGGGCCACCGCCCCUCCCAUCUAGGGUUGUCGCACCACCUAGGGGAAACCCUAGGGGUGCGCACCCUCCUCCCUCUCGUCCUAUAUGAACCCAAGGGUUUGGGGCUGUUGGACACACAAGUUUCACCUCUCCAUGGCGCAACCCUACUACUCCUCCUCCUCAUCCUCCAUAAGGCUUGGCGAAGCCCUCCCGGAGUACCACGUAGCUCCACCAUCACCAUGCCGUUCAGCUGUCGGAGCUCUCCCUCAAUCUCUCCUCUCUCCUUGCUUGAUCAAGGCGUAGGAGACGUAACCGGGCUGCACGUGUGUUGAACGUUGAGGCGCCAUUGUUCGGUGCUUAGAUCAGAAGCCACCGCGAUCUGAAUCGCUACGAGUACGAAUCCAUCAACCUAGUUCUAGAAACGCUUCCUCUUAGAGAUCUUCAAAAGUAUGAAGAUGCUCUUCCCCAUUGCUGGUUGCUGGUUUCUCCUAGAUAGAUCCUUGUGAAGCGUAGGAAUUUUUUUGAAAUUACUACGUUCCCAAAAAGUAGCAUCCGAGCCUGGUUCUAUGCGUAGAUUCUAUGCACGAGUAGAACACAAAAGUUGUGGGCGAUGAUCUUGUCAAUUUCUUGCCGUUACUAAUCUUAUCUUGAUUCGGCGGUAUCGUGGGAUGAAGCAGACUGGACCGACUUUACACGUACUCUUACGUGAGACUAGUUCCACCGACCGAGGUGUACUUGUUGCAUAAGGUGGCUAACGGGUGUCUGUCUCUCCCUCUUUAGUCGGAUCGGAUUUGAUGAAAAGGGUGCUUUUGAAGGGUAAAAUAGCAUUGGCAUAUCAACGUUGUAGUUGUCACCUCAGUAAGAAGCGUUCUUGCUAGAAACCCAAAUCAGCCACAUAAUACUUGCAACAACAAUUAGAGAAAGUCUAACUUGUUUUUGCAGGGUAUGCUAUGUGAUGUGAUAUGGCGAAGAGGAUGUGAUGUUACAUAUGUGAUGUAUGAGAUUGAUCAUGUUCUAGUAAUGUGAUUCACGACUUGCAUGUCGAAUAGUAUGACAACCGGCAGGAGCCAUAAGAGUUGUCUUAAUUUAUUGUAUGAGAUGUAAUGCUGAUUACUUUACUUUAUUGCUAAACCAUUAGCUAUACUAGUAGAAGUAAUAGUUGGCGAGACGACUUUCGCAAAGACACAAUGAUGGAUAUCAUGAUUAUGGAGAUCAUGGUGUCAUGCCGGUGACAAUGAUGAUCAUGGUGCCCCGAAGAUAGAGAUAAAAGGAGCAAGAUGAUAUUGGCCAUAUCAUGUCACUAUAUGAUUGCAUGUGAUGUUGAUCAUGCUUUUCAUCUUAUUUCCUAGAACAGCGCUAUCAAAGAUAAGAUGAUCCCUCAUUAAAAUUUCGAGAUAAGCAUUCCCCUAAGUGUGCACCGUUGCGAAGGAUCGUUGUCUUGAACCACCAUGUGAUGAUCGGGUGUGAUAGAUUCUAAUGUUCGAAUACAAUGGUUGUAAGCCAGAUUUAUACACACAAAACACUUAGGUUGACUCGACGAGCCUAGCAUGUAGAGACAAGGCCUCGAAUACGGGAGACCGAAAGGUUGAACAUGAGUCAUAUGGAUUAUACGAUCAGCAUGGAGAUGCUUACCAUUGAUGACUAGUCCGUCUCACGUGAUGAUCGGACACGGGCAAGUUUACGUGGAUCACGUAAUACUUGGAUGACUAGAGGGAUGUCGAUCUAAGAGGGAGUUCAUUACAUAAUUUGAUUAGAUGAACUUAAUUAUCAUGAACUUAGUCUAAAAUUGUCUUUACAAAUAUUGUAGAUCCAAUGGCCAACGCAAAUGUCCCAUUCAACUUGAACGCAUUCCUAGAGAAAACCAAGCCGAAAAAUGAUGGGAGCAACUAUUCGGACCGGGCUUGUAAGUUAAAUCUCAUCCUCAUGGAUUUCAAGAAGGAAUAUGUCCUUGAUGCACCGCUAGGUGACUCUCCCGUUCCUGUGGCAACCCACGACGUUAGGAACGUCUGGCAGUCACGGAGUGAUGACUACUCUCUGGUUCAUUGCGACAUUCUUUAUAGUUUAGAACUGGGGCUCCAAAGGCGUUUUGAGCAACACAAAGCNNNNNNNNNNNNNNNNNNNNNNNNNNNNNNNNNNNNNNNNNNNNNNNNNNNNNNNNNNNNNNNNNNNNNNNNNNNNNNNNNNNNNNNNNNNNNNNNNNNNGGCUUAUAUUUUACCUAUAUGUAUUUACUUUUUUGAAAGAGUCAAAGUAUUUUCCUCUACUUCCUUUAUCUUCUAUUUGGAAAGCAUCAUGUGGUGGGGAAGCAUGUAAACAAAUAUAUCCCGCUGAAUGUGGGUGGUCAUGAGUUAUUAUUGUUGACAUCACCCUUGAGGUGAAUAUGUUGGGAGGCAACACUAUAACCCCUGGCUAUCCAUGUGUCCAAUUGAAACCUUUUGCUCAUAUGUAUGUGGUGGGUGUUAGCAAUCAUAGCAGACUAAAUGAUGGUUGAGUAUGUAGACUUGCUUAAUAGCUCCAAUAUGUGACCCUUCCUGAUAAUAUGAUGAAUUGUUUUGCAAAGUUGACUGAGAACAUUGAUUGUUAGUUUUCAAUAGAAUUUAUGCUUCAUACUUCGAUGUUGUGAUGAAUUGCUACUUGUUUAUAAGAAGCCUUUAUGAUGAAAGUUACAUGAUGAAAUUUGUGUGAUGAAGAACUUUAUGAAGUUUUGUUUAUGUUAUAAUAAUGAGCAUGUUCAUACUUUGUUUUUAUCGAGUCCUCUCACUCAAAGCACGCAGUCAUGAUUUUGAUUAUCGGCUUUCGCUUGAGGGCAAGCGAGGUCUAAGCUUGGGGGAGUUGAUACGACCAUUUUGCAUCAUGUUUUCUUAGUGUUACUUAUAGUCUUUUUAUGCAUUUGGACACUUGGUGGAGUAAUUCUAAUACUUUUUCUCUCAUAAUAUGUAAGGUUUACAUCAAGUGGGAAUGUCGGCAGGUGGAAUUCUAGACCUGAAUAAGCUAUGCCAGAUAUACCUAUUCUACACCUCUCCAACUUGGCUGAAAAUUUAUGGAGAUUUAUUUUAUAAUAAAAGAAAUACUGGAGCGAAAAAGUACGAGAGGGGGGCUACCAGGUGCCGACUAGACACGAGGGAGUGUCAGCCCCCCUGGCGCGACCUCAUGUCUAGUAGGCCCCCUGGCCCACCGGUAGCGAUCUUCUUCUUGUAUAAAAUCCCUUUUACCCUAAGCAAAUUAAGAGGAUGACUUUCGGGACGAAGCGCCACCGUCUCAAGGCGAAACCUGGGUAGGAGCACUUUUGCCGUCCGGUGCAUAGAUUCCGCCGGAGGGGGGGUGUAUAGGAGAUUUUUAGAAUUUCAUCACUGAGGAAAUUCCUUUUGAAAUUCCUCACUGAUGACUAACUUACAACGGAAACAGUAAAGGAUCAGGAGUGCAAAGUUUCACUAUAGCAGUUUUUCAGUACGAGGAAUGUGAUAACAGAUUGCACAGUAAGAAGGCACGCAGAAAACAGAUGAGGAUUAACUUGCGUGAAGAAUUUGGGGUUGAGGAAUUUUAGAGAAAGUCUUCAGCAAAUUCUUCAAACAGUGACAGUGAAAAUCAUCAACACAUAAUCUGAGGAAUAUAAAGAGUUGAGGUAUUAGAACCCGUUUCACAGUGAAGACAGUAGUUGAUUACCAGUUCCAACUGUUGUGACAAUUGUACAUCUGGUUUGGAGAGGCUUGGUAUUGAAACCAGAAAACACACAGUCCCGGGACACACAGUCCCUACCAUAUUCUCCUUGGGCUAAGAACACACAGUCCUCGCCCAAUACUCGUGGUAAGUCUUCAGGGUAGACUAGCAAACCCUCACAAACUUGGUCACCCGGCGAUCCACAAUUGAAUGCUAGAUUGCUCUAGACCAUGACGCCUAACCAUCUAGAGGAUGCACAGUCCUCAAAGGUAAAAGGCUUCAGUCCCACACAGGAACAACUUCUUUAGUGAUGCUAAAUCACUUGGUUUUCGGUUUGUGGUUUGGUGUUUGGGGUAUUUCCUCACUGAUGAAUUACUCUCGAAGACUCUGAUGAAUUUUGGUUGCUCUUAUGACAAGUGUCAGUUUCUAACGGAGCAGCCAACCAGCUAAUGGUUGUGGGGGGGGGCUAUUUAUAGCAUGGGAGCAUCCCGACAUGAUUUGACACUAAUGCCCUUAAAUAAUACGACCGUUGGUGUGGAUAAGACCAAUAAUGUGGCGUGGCUAUCGAAACGGUCGGGGCCCUCAACUGUGAGAGUCCUCAUUUCACUCAUAUUCCUCACUUGAGGCUUUUGGUAGGAUUAGGCUUGGAUUGAGCAUCAUGAGGAAAUUCAUUCCAAUGUGUUACCUUGACCCCCUUUAACAGUACGGUGUUCCUAUUACUCAAGUGUGAAGAAAACAAAAUAGAAAUAGUAAAUCUACAUGCUUCAAAGUCUUCAGAAUGAUUUUCUUCAGGACACACCGAAUUCCUCAAUUUCAAUAUCUUCAUGAGGAAUAUCAAUUUCAUCACAAGUUCUUCGCGAUUCAAAUCUUCAGCUUCCGACCAAUUUCUUCAACCGAAGAUAUACAUUUUUAGGUGUCGAUAUUCAUCGAAUAUUUCAAACUCCUCAGCGACUUAUAGAUCCNNNNNNNNNNNNNNNNNNNNNNNNNNNNNNNNNNNNNNNNNNNNNNNNNNNNNNNNNNNNNNNNNNNNNNNNNNNNNNNNNNNNNNNNNNNNNNNNNNNNAACCUACACAGAUAAUUCACUUCUACUACUUGUAUCAGGUUAUCGAGACAAUGGAUCUCUUCGAUAGGUGGUAGAUUUUUGACAUCUUCAGAUCUAAUGCCUUUCUCUUACAUAGAUUUCUUGGCUUCUUGCAUAUCUUCGGGACCGAGGAAUAGAAUACCUCUUUUCUUAGGAGUUGUCUUAGGAGGUGGUUCAUGAAUAGUCCAAGCAUUAUCGUUGAUCAAGAUGUUAUUCAGUAGAGUCUCAGCUUGUUCUACAGUUCGUUCCCUAAAAACACAACCGGCACAACUAUCUAGGUGGUCUCUAGAAGCAUCGGUAAGUCCGUUAUAGAAGAUAUCAAGUAUCUCGUUCUUCUUAAGAGGGUGAUCAGGCAAAGCAUUCUCUAGCUGGACGAGCCUCCCCCAAGCUUGUGGGAGAUUCUCUUCUUGGAGUUGAGCAAAGUUGUAUAUUUCCUGCAAGGCAGCUUGCUUCUUAUGGGCAGGGAAAUAUUUUUCACACAAGUAAUAGGACAUAUCAUGGGGACUACUCAAAUAGCAAGAGAGGUGAACCCGGCUUUAUCGUCAUCCUUUAAAGAGAAAGGAAACAACUUAAGGAUGUAGUAGUGGCGGAUCUUCUUCUCACUAGUGAAAUGGGUGGCUAUAUCGAGUAGUUUUGUAAGAUGGGCUACGACCUUCCCAGACUCAUAACCAUGGAAAGGAUCCGAUUCGACUAGAGAGAUUAUCUCAGGAUCGACAAAGAAUUCAUAGUCCUUAUCGGUGAUAAAGAUAGGUGAAGUGGCAAACUUCGGGUCCUAUUUCAUCCUAGCUUUCAGAGAUUUUUCCUCCCACUUGAGAAGUAAUUUCUCAGCAUCAUAGGCAUCCUUACACGUAAGAAAAUCCUCAGCUAUCUCUCCCUCCAUAAUGUAACCCUCAGGUAUAUCAGGAAAUUCAUAUCUAGGAGAGCUAGAUCUAGCAGGAGCAAAAGCAGGUUCUAUCUCAAUAGUAUUGGCAGUUUCAGAAGCAUCACGAGCAUUGGCAGUAACUCUAGCAAUAUGAGCAUCUAGGAAUACCCCCAGUGGAACAUCAGUCAAUGUAGUAUCUCUAGCAGUAUCCAGCAUAUCAUCAUCAGGCAAAAUAGCAUCUCUAGCAUCAUCAGGCAUAGGAUCUCUAGCAUCAUCAGGCAAAGCAGUAUCAUGCAUAGCAUCUCUAGCGGUAUCAAGCAUAGCAUCAUCAGGCAUAGUAUCAAGCAUAGAAUCUCUAGCAGUAGCAUCAUAAGCAUCAUCAAGCACAGGCGACAUAUCAAGAUUUCUAGCAGGAGGUGAUGUCGCAAACUUAGUCAUAACUGAAGGCGAAUCAAGUGCAGAGCUAGAUGGCAAUUCCUUACCUCCCCUCGUAGUUGAGGGCAAGACUUUGGUUUUUGGGUCCUUUAGAUUCUUCAUAGUGAUCAGCACAUAUAAAUCCCAAGUAACUCAGAGAAUAUAGCAAUACCUCCCCGGCAACGGCGCCAGAAAAAUGCUAAUUCCGUGACAACAGACCUUCCCCUGCAACGGCACCAGAAAAAUGCUGCUAGCACUCCCCGACAAUGAAACUAGAAGAAUGUUGUAGAUGGCCCACCAACGCGUGGGAUCACAGCAGUUUUCGAGGGUAGAGUAUUCGACCCAAAUUUGUUGAUUCGCCAGACAGGAGGUGAGAGAAUACUCCCGAGUAUUAGCAGCUGAAUUUAUCAGAUUCAACCACACCUGAAAGAUUAGUAUCUGCAAGCAAAGUAUCAGCAGCAAAGUAGUACGAUAACAACGGUGUCAGAAACGAUCUGUUGAUGGCAGGCUAUUCCUAACGAUUGUAUCAAUGGCGCCAGAAGUUUCCAGUGGACAGAAAGUAUUCUUUCCCAUCAACGGCGCGAGAAAAAGUACUGUAGCAGGUAGCAGCAGUGUAACGAGUAAUAGCAGUGGCAAGGAACAGCAGUAGUGAUAGCAGUAGCAAGUAGCAAGCGUAGCAAGCGACAGUAGUAGUAACAGUACCAGCAGAGCAAGACAAGUAACAGCAGCAGAGCAAGACAAGUAACAACAGCAGUAGGACAAACUCGUAGGCAAUGGGUCGGUGAUUUGUUUGGAUGAUAUUCAUCAUGCAACAGUUAUAACACGGAGAGAUAUGUGGCUAGCUCCCGUUCGUCAAUGUGAUGUAGGCCUGCAUUAUGUGUGUCGUCAUACGUGCUUAGGGAAAAGAACUUGCAUGACAUCUAUUAUGCAUCCCUCCCGUGGCAGCGGGGUCCAAAAGGAAACUACGGGAUAUUAAGGUUCUCCUUUUCAUAAAGAACCGAACCAACGCAUUAGCACUUGGUGAACACAUGAACUCCUCAAAGUAUGGUCAUCACCGGGACUGGUUCCGGUUAUUGUCACUCCAGGGUUGCCGGAUCAUAAAACAUAGUAGGUAACUACAACUUGCAAGAUCGGAUCUAAAACACACAUAUAUUGGUGACAACAUAAUAAUUUCAGAUCUGCAAUCAUGGCACUCGGGCCCUAGUGACAAGCAUUAAGCAUGGCAAAAUAGUAGCAACAUCAAUCUCAGAACAUAGUNNNNNNNNNNNNNNNNNNNNNNNNNNNNNNNNNNNNNNNNNNNNNNNNNNNNNNNNNNNNNNNNNNNNNNNNNNNNNNNNNNNNNNNNNNNNNNNNNNNNUGCUUUUGUUGUGGUCCUUAUUAUUACUAUUGCUAUUACGGCGAUAGAUCACGCGUUUGACGAAGGACUUAGACCCGAAGACCUCAAAGACCCCGGAUACCUAGCUGAUCAAGGCAAGCAGCCCUUUGACCAUGUGGGAGGGAAUACUUUAUGCAUGUCAUGUUGAUUACUUUACUCCGAUGCAUGUGAUCAUGAUUAACCGGUAAACCUUUGAUACAGUGUUACUGACGGCUCAUCUGGAGAAAUUGCAUUUGAGCACGACCCUACCACCUAUGAGGGUCACGCGGCUAAAAAGUUGACAAGUAGAAAGUAGUUCUACGCAUAGGAUGAGCACAUGCAUGGUGAUGGUAACACAAAGGUGAUUACAAAGACUUUCCGAAAACCUCGUCGGGUGCCACUAACGCACGAGGGUGAUGGUGUUGAGAUGGAUGGCCACUUGAGAAAGAAGUGGUGUACCGAAAAGGUUUUGUGUGUGUGGUUCCGGAAAUGGGAUUAGAUUUAAGAUUUGUCGACCGUUCAAACCUUAAAUAUGCGACCACGAUACCGUUUUAUUGGACGCGGCUGUGUUGAUUACUCUAGUCGUGCUAGCAAGGAGCCUGCAUUACUAGUGGCGGGAGUGAUAUGGUCACUCUCGUGAUGGGGUAGUGCCAGGUACGAUGACUAUGCCGUAUUUAUGUGUUCCGGACACAUCUUUGGUCCCUGCAUGGAUGAUACGAUCUAGAGUUGGUACUCGUAAGACGUACAUCAUCUGGACUGGGUACCAAUCGAGUGGACUCUUUGUCUAGUAUCGUUAGGGGAAUGACAUUGAUCGGAUACUUACCUCGGGUAUGUUAUAUAUCGCGAGUCGUGGAUGACAUGGAAGUUUCCCGGAUCUCAUGGGUACAGUGUACAACCUCUGCAGAGUGUAAAACUAUUCGAAUAGCCGUGUCCAAGGUCAAGGAAAGUUGGGUGGUCCUGCUUAAACUACGUCUAGUGAUUCCGCAUAAACCAAGUGUGUGUUUGUAUAAAGGUGUUACAUGAGUAAGAGAUUACUUGGUCAAGUUUGGUGACUUGACAUGAAGGAUGAACAUGGGAUGUUCACUACUCAGGUUAUUUAUGUGGAUAUAUGUAACCUGUUCAUACGAUUACUAUUUACCUAGUGUUGCAUGACCAUCUAGAUACUUGAUCAUGUUUAUGCAUUAAUAAAACCUGCUUUCCGCAAAGACUUCAUUAUACUUUAUAUUUCAUUUGAUUGCAUAACGCUCAUCAUGGGUUGUUUGCGAGUACAUUCAAAAGUACUCAUUGGCUUGCUACUGGUUAUCUUAUUGACCAGACAUGGAGGAACCAAAAUAUGGAGAAUAAUUCGUCGUCGGAGAUGGACACGCGAACUAGGACGCUUCCUAGUCAGAAUGCAUGUUGGUUAAGGGUGAUGGCAUGGGUUCACGUUUACUACCAAGAUUUCCACUAGUAGUUGAGUUAGUGUGAUUGGCCUUCAUGGCCCUAUCUAUGUAAGACUUGAUCAUAAUGGUCAUUAUUUUUAUGAGACGUUAAUUAUUGAUGUAAGACCCUUGUUAUUCAGUAUAUGUGUGUUCAGUGAGCAUUGAUCUCUGGAAUCACUAUACAUGUUAAUUCGGUGAUCACGACUCGCAAGUCGGGGUCCCCACAGCAUACCAUGGUCUCGCACAUAUUACGUCCUAAUCAUCGUAGGUGAAGGUGACAUCACUCUGGAAUAGUGUUGAGGAUGUCGCCAUCUUAUGGAUCUCGAGGUCCUCAUUCCUCAUGAAGGUACUUCUACUGGUGUCGCCUGGUCGUAGCGUUGCCAUCCUUGUCUUCCAAGUACCUGGGUGGUCGCUUGGAAUGUUUGCUACCUUCCAAGUUACCCACGAGGAUUUUAAUUAAUCCCGUGGUCAGGCAUAAGGGUGUUAGCGACCAUUUGCAUGUUUUGAAGAAGCAAACAAGGAGUGUCAAGAGAAUAAAAGUGGAAGUGCUAGGGUAAAACCUUCGCUUACUUUGAAAAUUUAGGAGAGGUGAGAAAAAUACAGGUUUUGCAAGUACUUCUGAAGGGUCUGGAUAUCAACUUGCCCUAACUAAUGUAUGCGCUAACUAAGGGCUUCCUACAAUCAACCUAGCUCUAAUACCAGCUUUGUGGGGACCCCGACUUAUAAGUCGUGAUCACCGAAUGAACGUGCUGAGUGGUCCGAUAGAUCAAUGCUCACUGAACACACUAAAACUGAAUAACAAGAGUCUUACACCAAUACAUACUGUUUGAUACAAUUAAUGACCACUUCGGUCAAGUCUUAUAUAGAUACGGCCUUGAAGGCCAACACACCAAACUUUAACAAUAGCGCAAUUACUCGUCGAAAGCAUGAACCUAGGACAUCAGCCUUAACCUACACGCAUUCUGAAGGGGAAGCAACCUAGCUUGCAUGAACCUCACCAUGGUAAUCUGCACCAUCCCUUGAUAUAUCUUACCUGGUCAAUAAAAUAACCAAUGGCAAGCCAAUGAGUACUUUGAAUGUAGUCGCAAGCAACCCAUGAUGUGGAACAAGGAGAUAAUGAAGCAUGAUAUGUCAUAAGUAUGCAGCCUUUGCAGAAAGCUAGUUUUUCCCUGAAUGCAGUAAUAUGAUCAAAUGCUUGUAUGGAUAUGCAUCAUAAGGUAAGUGAUAACCACGUGAACAAGUUACAGAUAUCAAUAUCAUCGGAGGACUGAACAUCUGAUGUUCACCCUACAUGCCAAGUCAUCCAACUUGACCAAGGACCAUCUUCCUCAUACACACNNNNNNNNNNNNNNNNNNNNNNNNNNNNNNNNNNNNNNNNNNNNNNNNNNNNNNNNNNNNNNNNNNNNNNNNNNNNNNNNNNNNNNNNNNNNNNNNNNNNGGAGGGGGGGCGGGGGGGGUGGGGGGUGGGGGGGGGGGGUGCACCAACCUUCUCCCACGCGUACGCGAAGUUGUAGCCCUUUGAGAAAGCUCCUGACCUGGGCAGGGUCGGUUGCUUCGUCGCCAUGGAUAUCCUACGCGUGGGCUCGCACCAAACGGGAAGCGGAGGAAGACGAAGGACAGGGGACAAGUGAGAAGAAUAAAGUUUGUUUUUUCUUUCUUUUUGUUAGAAAUUAAUUAGUCUUUAUUGCCAACAACCAUGUGUUUUAAAAGGAUGUCUCCGAACAGACACAUUUUUCCCCACCUCUUCCGGAUGCAUAUAUACUACUUGACUUUCAUUCAAUUUUAUUUUACUCUAACACGUUAUCAGCACUUAGACUUUAUCAAGAAAGAGUAAUGGCAUACAGAAAAACGUGAUCUAAUCCUACCGGCAGCAACGCGUGAAGAUGAACCUUACGUACACACGAUGGAUUUCGGCCAUGAAACCGCUACACACGCCAGUGCAAGUCUCGAGCGGGCGUGAGGCGAUCCAUCGUUGCUCCCAACGAAACAAUGGAGGAAGCAAAGAUGGGCAUGCAUGCACCUUAGUCUCCUACAGGGAAUCCACAUGCAAGCAUUCCUACAAAAAAUUAUUAGGGAACGUUAAUUUAUUGCCUUCUUGUGAUUAAGAUCAAUACUCUAAAGAUUUUUUUCUUAGGAAUGCCCUACGUGAAUUGUUCACUGAAAUUGAUCAAGAUAAAGGAAUGAUGGAUCAACCGUCUGGAAAAAAAAGCGGGGGCAGGUCGUAGACGAGCGCAACGGCACAGCCAAAGGCAGGGAUUGGCGGAGACCGUCGACGCCCUUCAUGCUAGUCGGAUUGCCGUGCAGCAGCAGUGUAGUGUCUUCACGGCCGCCGUUGUACUCGCCGACGGUCGUGAAACCGGCGGUCCAGAGGCCAUCGCACGGCGGUUCCUCCCGACGCGGAUGGCUGCGUCGCGGUUCACGGCAGCGACCUCCACCGACAGCCGCGGCCACCCCGUAGCACGACGACUCAAUCGUAGCGCGACAGCGCGGCCUUGCCCUCCCGUCCGGCAGCGCGGCGCAGCGGCCCGUGGUUGCGGCCCUCCACGGGGAGGCAACAUAGUGCCCGAGACGUCGUCCAACGAACGACGCCCAGCGUGAAAACAACCCAUGGCGCAGCACGACGACCUUCAAUCGGCAACACGACAACCCUUCCUAAUUCUUCAAAACGGAGAUGUAUUAUGUGCAAUGCCUAACGAAGUGAAUCAAUCAUUCGUGGCCGCACAGAGAAAGACACGAGCAUCUUAUCUCUUCGAUCAUUUGACGUUUUACCACUUCUAAUGAGACCUCACACGACUACCUCAAGAUAUCAUAAGAUCGGGUUGAAAAGCCCUUUGAUACAUUUUACAUCUCCUUAUGAUGGUACUAUCAUUUUACAUGGUAAAGAAACAUAAAAAAUUCCUUAAAAUCAUCAGAUUCACCCAACGGGUGUUAUUCCAUUAUUUGAAAUUUUUGUUAGUGUUGCAAAUACUAAGCAGGUCAUUGGUCACAAAAUAGGACUGUAUGAAUUCAAAGCAAAGUGGAGGUUAAAAGACAACCAAAGAUAGAAUUAACUCUUUACAGGGAAUAGGUCGUUUUCUAACGAUUACAAUGAAAACUCUCAAGUUUGUCAAAUGUGUAGUUAUAUAAAUAUUCGUACCUAUACUUACCAAACCCUCAAACAUAUGGUCAAACCACAUCAUAAUUUUUUUUCAAAAGGCUGAUAAGUUCACUCGGAUAUUUGAAAAUUUGCAAACAUAUAACCAGAAAAUAUUUUUUUAAAUGAUGUUCUCAAAUCUUCAUCAGAAGGNNNNNNNNNNNNNNAGUGCAAUAAAAGAAUGAUCAAUUCUUUUGCAUCUAUGAUAUGUUUGCGCAACUAUUUUUUUCAGUAAUAUGGGAGACCUCAUGCAAUAUCCUGAUUAUUCCCAAAAUAUUGUUAGCCUAUACUUGUACUACUACAUGUAGUGCGAUGUCCAAUAUCCUAUUGCUUGGACAUUAUAUUUGAUAAAUUUUGAAUGUAUGGGUCAAUUCAUACUCAGUUUGUUGCGUACACAAUAAUUUUAUAAAUCUUACAAAAUAUUUGGUUUUAAGCCUUACAAUCCAGGUUUGGGGUUGAUUAGAAAAAUUAUUGGCAAUUCUAUUGGUCACAACUUUUUCAGUUACAAUAUUUCCCAAAUCAUCAAAAUUUAUAUGCACCACAUGUGUCAUAGGGGAAAUACAUUUUAAGGCUCUCUCACCUUAAGAUUCUAAAUGAGCCACUCAUUCUUUCUUGAACACAUUCAGAAGAUAUAUGUGGAUUACUUAACCAUUAUGUGGGAUUAUUUAGAUACUUCAUGGUACUCAUAGAAACAUUUAUAAAAUGAUUUCAAGUGUGGCUCUUGUCACACACAACCAUGAAUGAUCUUACUAAAUCAAUUGCUCAACUUCUCAAAGUAAGAGAAAAUUAUCCUAAACAAGGGAUAAAUCCAUUCGAAUGGACAACUUUGUUGAACUCAUUUCACAAGCAAUGUCUAAUUAUACAUAAUACUUUAUGUGCAUACGAGAAUGGUUUAGUUAAAUAUCUUACCAAAGAUAGUGAAAUUAAUAACAUGAUCAAACUUAUAGAAUUGUAAUUUGCUAGACUCUUGCUAGAUAAAUACGACAUUACACACCGUAAGUAUGAUAUAAAACAUACAAACUGCAUAGCAUACUACUUUCCCCUUGUAGUAAUUACGUGAAAAUCAACAAAGUAUUUCCUGUCUGCGAUAAUCCAGUUACAUACCGAUAUCACCACUCUAGCGUACAUCAAUGGGCUCUCACAGAAAAUUGUGGAUCUAUGUGAGGAAUAACAAUUUAUCCGUCAAUCAAAUUUAUUCAUAGCCCGUAUGCUGAUUGCAUUAGCAAUAAGGACAUUUUCGGCAUUAGGGGGAGAUUAGUACCACAAAGAAUGCCAAGAAAUAAAUUAGAAAUGUUAUUGACAUUCAGUCCUUAUAUCCACGGACUCAAAGAAUCUGAACUAGAAGUUUAGAAUCACAUAUUUGCAACUCGUUGCAAAUCUGCCACAUAUGCUUACUAAUGACAAAGGUGUCACUAAAUUUUAUAUUACUGCAGUAAAGUGUCAGAAAGAGUGGAGGUACCUCAUAAACCACUCUUCUCCCCAAAUGUGAGCAAUAGAGGGAGAAGUCUGACCACACGAUAUAUAAUCUCGCAUAUGCUUCCGCGNNNAUAGAGGAAAUCAAAUCCUCAACCAGUAAANNNNNNNNNNNNNNNNNNNNNNNNNNNNNNNNNNNNNNNNNNNNNNNNNNNNNNNNNNNNNNNNNNNNNNNNNNNNNNNNNNNNNNNNNNNNNNNNNNNNGGAACGGAGGAAGUAGCAUUCACACUACGCAUGCAUAUAGAAGUAGUACAACGAAGUACUAAUUAGCUGCUAUGAGUAAAUGCAAUGCGUCUUAAACCUUGUGUGUUGUGGAAAUGCAAGCAAACUUAACCGUGCCUUCUAAACCGUGACGGAGGUAGUAGGACAAUAAACCACUGCAAAUUAAGUAUUUAUUUAGAAUCAUCAUCUCUAGGAUCUUUUCUAAAACUCCAACUAUUUUUCUUACCAAGAUGUCAUGCAUCUCCCGCUACGGGAAAUCAAUGUUUUUACAAAUUUCAAUUGAUAUUCCGCUGUCAUUUUUCUCUUCCGGUGCACUUGUCUCAACAGGAAGCAGCUAUGGAACGAAACAUAGUACUCUCUCCAUCCCCAAUUACUCGUCUCAGAAAUAGAUAUAUCUAAACGUAUUUAUAGUUUUAUAUACAUUUAUUUUUAUCCAUUUUCGUGAUAAGUAAUUUAAGGCCGAGUGACUGGAAGAAGAUUAGGUGGCUGGCUUUUACAGGGAAAAGAACGAGUGCACAAUGAGAUAGGAAGUUGCAGGCCCCACUUACAUAAAAAUGCAUCACACGCUUUACAAUUCACGAUGAGUCAGACACCGUAACAUAUGAUAAUUUUUGUAAACAGAAUAGCAUUGAAUUCUUAGAAAAAAGAGUGAAUAGAUCAAAUAUAAAUUAUCUUCUCAAUAGGGUGCGCCUUGAUCUCAUCGAUAACCGACGGGAAGCGUUGCAUGAGCCACAGGUACCCCUCGGUUACCACAAUUCUCGUGAAGUUCUUCCCCACCAUGAAGAAGUCGAGGCACCUGUUCUUGAGCUCUGGACAGUUGUGCAUGUCAGCAUAACCUAAUGUCGUCGCGACUGUCUCCACCGAUACCAUGUUCCAUAGCUUCUGAGCACACAUGAGCUUCAAUCUGCCGAGGUCGUACCUGUCCGCUGCUGCAAGGACACACUGAAGCUGUUGGGCUGAUGGGAAAAAGCUUUCGGGACCUAACUCCACGGACAGUCUGUCCGUGUACAUGAACCGAAGCAUAGCUCUGAAAGUUGACGGCUCGAUGUCAUGCAAUGUGAUGCACUGCAUGGUAGCCUCUGCUAAGGAACCGAAGAGCUCUGCUCUGAACACUGACGAUCGGGCGGCGAGCACGGCCCGGUGGGCACUGAACGUCUCGCCGCCGACCACGAAGGAAACGUCUGAACCGUCGGGGCACUCCAGCAGGCUUCCGAGAUGGUCGCCUAUGUUCGUGGCCGGCACCGCUAUGGAGUUCCCAGGCAGAGCUAUGACACCACAGAUAAGCGUGAUCACGCCGUUCUUGACAUAGCUCGACUCCAGGCAAUUUCGCUUCACGCAGAGAUCACCAGAUCAGCUGACGUAGUUACCUUUUGUGUAUUCGUCGAUCUCCAGCACUGACCUUUUUAAGCGGCACGAAGGAGCGCCGUCACUUCGCACCAGGAAGCCCUCGCAGAAGCCAUUGAACCUGUUGAAUUGGCUGUCCAGGGAGAGAUGGAGCUCGAGGGCAACCUCCUCGUCGUCUUCCCAGUAGCCGCAUUCUAUCUUCCAGCUGUAGUGCUCCGCGGAAAUGCUUUUGGAGACGGGGUUGAUGGGGUCAUGGUUUUUUAUUUCUGGGUAAUCAAGUUUGAACUCGGUGAAACUGGAGUCGACCAUUUUCGCAUAUGGAGUAAAACUGUACCACCAGGUUGAAUUUAUAAACAAGUGUUUGUGGACACUUGGGAUCCCCAGCCCAGAGGGAGCAAUGUGAAAAUCUUUCCAACCCCUCGAGAAUCUGAAUGUGUGGCGCCUUGGGUAUCGAGCAGGGAGACGAGAUGAUUGUAUUCCGAUGAAGGCUGUGUUAAUUAGUACUCCUCCAAAAUUAAAAAAAAGAAUAGUACUAGUACUUCAGUUCAGUGGCUCGUCGGCUGAUCUACCGCGGCACACGCGGCAGCCGUGUUGCAACAACAAAUGAACGCAGUGACGACCGCGCAAUAUGCCAAGCUGCCAACAUCGAUAAAAUUAUCGGUAUUGCUACGUCAGUCACUUUUGCGAGAAGCUCCGAGGCCUAAAUCCCCCUAUACUAUAUACUAUUUCAAGCCCCGAACAUGCCGCCUGAAUCCCCCUGUAAUAUAUACUACUUCCUUUAUACCUAAAUAAUUGUAGUUGAGGAGAAUUAAACUAGUUUUUUUCAGCUAUAAUUAUUUAGGAAUGGAGGAAGUAUGAAAGAUGUAGUAUCAUUUUUUUUAACCCGACUUAAGAGGUUACAGAAACCGGUCAUAAAAUUUCUAACUCAAACGGAAGCCUUAAACAUGCCUUAAAGUCCGGACUAACCGACAUCCUUCAUAUUCAAUCCAAAUAUAGUGCAGGUAUGGAAGAGUCCGGGCGCGCCCGAACACUUCCGUCACGUCGGCCUAGCCCGCGCUCGCCUACAUCGACCCCAUAUGCAUUCAUCCUCAUUCGCCCGUCGGAUUGUAGCCACUUCACUCCACUCGCUUUCACUUUCAUCCGUCACCCAAGCGCACCUUAAGCUAUCUCCGGUCUUCUCCGGCAUGAUCUGAGUCCUUCACCUUCAGACCCGUCGCUCCCGGGAGGCGGCGGCCCUCCGAUAGCACUCGAACUCGUAGCAUUGGGAUUCCAUUUCGUCUACACAAUCGGUUUUUGGAUCCGGCUUCGCUGCUUCACAGGAGGCGGUGUGGUCCGUGUGGCGUUCGAACGCCGUGACGGACGCGCAACCCCUCCGUUGGCAGCCGAGGACGCACCAUGGGCGUCCUUGAACGCUAACAUGUGCGGAGUCUUGUCGUGCAGGGCAGCGAGCGCGGGAGGCGGUGGGGGCCCUCGCGGCGGUGGACGUUGGAGAGGCGGAGUCACACUCUCUGAUGCAUCGUAUAAUGCACAGGUGCGGGCGCCGUAACCGCGUCAUGGUGCGACUACCAAAUUAUAAUAUUUUUGACCACUAACCUAUUGACCCAGUGUCCAUUGCGAGUUUUUGUUUUCUGCAUGUUUUUCACUUUNNNNNNNNNCAAUACCAAACGAAGUCCAAUUGACAAAAAGAAGACCAAUUAGUAUUAGAAGAAGGCUUGGGGGCACCCGAGGGCCCCACAUGACAACACGGCGCGACCUGGGGGACGCCAUGUUGGCCUAUGGGCCCCUCGAGGCUCUCCCGACUCCGUUCUCUGGUUUAUAAUUUUUCAUAUAUCCCAAAAAGUCCGAGAGAGUCCCAAAACACCUUUUACGCCGCCGCAAGUCUCUGUCCCGAUGGGAGGCCAUCUGGAGCUCCGUUCCCGCACCUUGUCGGAGGGGGAAUCGAUCACUGAUGGCCUCUUCAUCGACCUUGCUGCCCUCAUGAUGAUGUAUGAGUAGUUCACUAGACCUACGGGUCCCUGGCUAGUAACUAGAUGGCUUCUUCUNNNNNNNNNNNNNNNNNNNNNNNNNNNNNNNNNNNNNNNNNNNNNNNNNNNNNNNNNNNNNNNNNNNNNNNNNNNNNNNNNNNNNNNNNNNNNNNNNNNNCCUCCCUCCCNNNCUCUCUCCCUCUCUCUCUCUCUCGACAAGACUAGAUUUCUCUUCUCCUGGUCGAUUGAUUUUUGGUGUCGGUUGGCUGCUUCGGCACCUUUCAGGCCAAGGUUUCUUUCCUCUCGAUGCUGGUCUUUUGUGUCGUCCCUGUAAAUGUAAAGAUCAUAUUCCUAGGCAUUGCAGGCAAGGCUGAAUUUAAUUUGCAGAUGACCGGUUCCAUGAUAGUAGUAAAAAAUUGAUGGUUCGUUUAAGUUCAUGAGAACAUGGUGGUUCCUCUAGCACCUAGAUCGAUGUAAUCUGACCGACAUAUUAUUAGAAGUUAAAAGAGUAUUUCUUUUAUACGGUGACCGGGUUCUAUACAUACUUAUUUGGACCAUAUAACACACUCCGUCCCUCAUAUGCACAAAGCAUACUCUUUAUAGCUGGAAGCGCAUGUGAGAUCUGUGUUAAGUCAACUAUACAAUCUCAACCAUUGAAAUCUCAUAACUCAAGAUUGAUAAAUCUUGACCGUUAUUUUACCAUCAUUUUAAUAAUAUAAUAUAUAGUUGAAACAUGCAAGAGAGCAUNNNNNNNNNNNUGGCAAGCACAUUUAAGUCUAACCCUGUGCAUAGGGGUUUUGCAUACAAACAAUUUAUUGUAGCAAUGAUCAACUUGCGUAGGAAUGCAAAACAAGCAUGACUUUGAAACUUUGAGCCCAUAGGGAGGAAACUUGAUAUUAUUGCAAUUCCUUCAAGAAUAUGUUCCUCGCUCAUAAUAAUUUUCAGUAGCAUCAUGAGGGAAUUCAACAAUAUAACUAUCACAUCCAACAUUCUUUUCAUGAUUCAUAAGCAUAUAAUUUUUAUUACUACCGGCACAAGCAAAAUUAAUAUCAUUCAUAAUAGUGGGAGCAAACUCAACAAAAUAGCUAUCGUGAGACACUUAAUUGGCAUAAUCCAAAUUAAAAUUAAAAUCGAGAUGACAAGUUUCAUGGUUUUUAUUACUCUUUAUAGCAUACAAGUCAUCAUAAUAAUCAUCAUAGAUAGCAACUCUGUUGUCAUAGUCAAUGGGAACCUCUUCCAAAAUAGUGGACUCAUCNNNNNNNNNNNNNNNNNNNNNNNNNNNNNNNNNNNNNNNNNNNNNNNNNNNNNNNNNNNNNNNNNNNNNNNNNNNNNNNNNNNNNNNNNNNNNNNNNNNNUGGUUCUCCCUCCCCGCCUCCUCCCCACUCCACCGAUGGUUGCCUCCCUGCGACCGGCUGCUCCGUUCGCUCGUUCCCAGCCCGAUCCUGUAAGUUUCCUUGCAAGUUGCAACGCGUGCUUGUGGAAUGGUGUUGUACACUCCGACUGGGCUCUGGAUCUGCUCGUUGCCGCUCGAUCUUGCCGACCUCCCUAGAAUUUGCUGUGUUCGCAGCUUCCCUCGUAGCUGCUGUGACCGUCUUGGGCUGUUCCCCACUUUAGAUGUAACUUCAGCUGGUGCUCGUGGUGGUUUAGACCUACGGCCCUUUAGGGGAAGGGUUCCUGGCAUCCUGCGGCUCGCCGAUCUGCUGUGUGUAACUGUGUAUGUAUGUGUGUCUUGCUGGGUUUAAUUCCUGUCUCUAAUGCAAGGCGAUCCAGCCGUUUGUCCUAUGAUCUUCAGUGGGUUCAUUUGCACUAGAUUCUGGAGUGAUUCAGUCCAUUUGCUUGUGUGAAAUGCUGCCUGUAAGGGAUUGCAUGUCGGCUUUUGCCAUGGGGAGUUAAUCUUAUUGUUUUUUCGUUUUCUGAGUGGUGAGGAAUAGGGGGGGAGGUCUAGGGAUGGAAGAGGUAAGAGGAAGCAGUGAAAGAGAGGGAAGUCAGAUGGAGAAGGCAACCCAGGGAAGGGAGGAGGGGAGAGUUAGUGGCUUUGGAGGAGGCGAGAGCUAUAGGGUUGUGGUCUAGGCUGAGGAGGGGAAAGUUCAGGAUGAAGGUGGCGGGGCGGGAAGCUGUUGGUUUGUACGUGAAACCCUGUCAUGACCGUUAUUUGCCUAUCGACACGCGGGGAGAGUUAGGUGUUCCAUCAAGAGCAGGUUGCAGUUUGUUUGUGCGUGACACGCGGGCCAUGUUUGUUUGUCCGUCUAUCUGGCGGCAGGAAAGGAUUGUUGAAACUGUUCAUUGAUUAUGGCACUUUUGUUUGUUGUACUCAAAAGAUUUGGCGCGAAAAGGAUAAUAUGGUACACGCGUCAAAAACACAAUUAUGGCAUUUUUUUUAGCAUAAAUGAAACUAAAUUACUAUUUCUGGCAGUUUGGCAUACUAACCUCACCCACCCUCAUAAAUGCUUGAGUAGGCUAGAGCUUUACAUAUUACCACCCCAAACAUCAUUUUUGUGUGUGCACAGUGAAGUUUUUUUGCCAAUUAGGGGAAGGAAUUAUGGCGUGUGCAACAUAUAAAAGAAACCCAGAACUUUUUGUUUGUUUGUAGUUUUCCAGAUUUUUUUCUUUUUUAGAAGGUGUGGGAGCUAGAGUGAUACAACAGCAUGUCUAAGGAUAGAAGUGGCAAGAGAGAAGGGAAGGAGUCAUGGGGAGGGGAUCAGGGGAACAAGAUGAAGAAGGUGUUGUUGGAAACAGAGGAGGACGGGAAGGUUGGUGCAUUUGGAGAAGGCAAGGAUAAGUUGGUCAGGUCCAGGGUGGGGAUGGCAGGGGUUAAGCGGUUGGUUUGUACUCCCUCCGUCCUAAAANNNNNNUCUCAAGCUUAGUACAACUUUAUACUAGAGUUAAUACAAAGUUGACACUUAUUUUGGGACGGAGGGAGUAUCUAAUAAGCCACCAUAAACGUUAUGUGCGGACCCGACAGGCGGACAGAUGCGAUGGCCUAUGAAAGCAGAAAGUUGUUUAUUUGUUCUCGACAUGAGGUCAUAUUCAUUUAUUCGUUUACCAGACGACAUGAAAAGAUUCUAGGGACCAUUUAUCAAUUAAUGGUUACAUUUGUUUAUUCUGUUCAUAAGAUUUGGCGUGAAAGUGGGACCAUGUCUGGCACAUGGUGUGAAAAGCAUGAUUGAGCCAUUUUUCAUAAAAUGAAUUUAUUUACUAUAUAUAUUUGAAAAUGGCGAAACAAAAUAGGAAAUCACUGAUACUUCAGCAUGGAAACCCUCACUGUCGCAGUCACACAGGUAUGCUUGGGUAGGUGACUCGCAGUCACAGGUAUGCUUGAGCAGAUGGCUCGCAGUCAUAGUACCCCUAUGACAAAUUUUCUACAAACAGUGAAGUCUGCGGAGGCAAUGAGGGAUUGAGGGCAAGGGUUUUGUGGGGUGUAAUUAACUUAUUGUAUGACGUAUACAAAAAUCAAAUGUUUAUUAUGUUUGUAGCUUUUGAUAUCUGUUGGUACUUUUGAUGAUUUUGCAGCCAAUAGAUGCUCCUCGAUCUGGUAUGGAUUACCCUUCUGGAGUUGGACCUAGCAGGCAAAUGAAAGCUGAUGACGACCCAGGGCGCAGUUUGACAUCACUUUCUUGUUCAAGGCUAGAGGAUGAAUUAUAUGUCGCUGCAAAGGAAGUAUCGCUUGAUCAUUUCAAAGAAGUGGUUGCAGAAGAAACAAAACACAGUUUGACAUCACUUUCUUGUUCAAUACUGAUGAAUGAAUUAUAUGUAGCUGCAAAGGAAGUAUUGUUUGAUCAUUUCAAAGAAGUGGUUGCAGACGAAAUAACAAAAGUCUUGUGUCCUCAGUAUGAUGGUGUUAUUAGUCAGGUGAGACAUGACCACUGGUUUUAUGCAAAUGAGCUAGUAGCUAACUGAUAUUACAAGAUUUUACAUUAUUUAUUUCUACAUAUGUUUCCAGGAACCAGCAGAUACAUGUGAAUCUAUGGAGAGGAGUAUGACACCGCCACAUGUUUCUCAAAUGACUACAUGUGAAGCAUCUAGUUUAGCCGCAGUACAGAAUAAUUCACCUUAUUUGGCACUUAUCUGGCAAAGCCCGAGUCAUAUCACCAUGGUACGACUUGCUGACGAUCCUUCCAAACAAGUGGAAGAUUUCCUGUCAGGUAAUCACACUAGUGAGCGUUUUGGCGCCUGUUAUGUUGCUCCUGUAAAGAGCAUUCAGGAGACGAGCAAGAAGGACAUGAUAGUGGAUCUCAACGACAAUUUCCAUUUCAAUACUCAACAAUGCGGGGAACAUUUUUCCUCCAGUGGGAUAAGGGGUGAGAAUUGUUUUUCUUUGUUCCUUCACCCCCUACAAUAGUUACUUACGUCUGUUAUUUAUCUUCCUUUUGCAGAAAGCAGACAAUAUCAUAUGAAACAAAAGCCUCUUAUUGUUCCAAAUGGGAAGCUUCCAAGUGAUCAUGCAUCAAGAACCAAUGUUGAUACUUUUCCCACAAGUCCUCUGCAGAAAAAAGGACGUACGAAGCUGAUCGUGGACCUUCUCAAUACAGCCGAGGCUCCCUGUACUUCAAAGAGUCGAAGAGAGUUGAAGGAAAAGCGUCUGACUUACCGCAGAGAAAAGGAAAAGUUCCCGACUCCAUGCAGAUCAAACAGAUGUGCUCGGACUUCCAUUGAUGGUUGGCAGUGGCGUAUCUGGUCACAGAACGCUACUAUAGCGGAGAAAGACAGUGUUAGAGGAUGGAAUAGUACAAAGCAAAUUCUGCGAGUGGAGAAAGCCAGUCCCAAAGAACGGAGCAGUAGAAAUCACAGUCCAUGCACUGAUGCUCGAGCUUCUCGAGCAAAAGUACGAACCAUAUUGACGAGCUCUAUAUCUCAUCAGUUGGCAAACUAUAUACAGAUGAAGGUGACGGAAAAUCUUUGAAUGUACAAAACAUUUCUCCCUCUGUUUUUGAAUGAUCAACCCUUCUUUUUGCAUGACUUCAUAGGCAAGGAUAAAAAAAUUGCGCGUUGAGAGGAGCAAGAUCCAUGGCUGGGGUGUUCUGACUGUAAAGGAAAUUAAUUGUGGAGAACUUAUUGUGGAGUAUAUUGGGGAAGUGAUAUGCAAGCCGGUAAGUUUGCAAAAAAAGGUUGUACACUCAGUGCUGAAAGCUGACACACAAGGUGGGUUCUGGGGGAGGGAUGCAAGAAUUUACAUAGUCUAUCUUCUGCAGGUUUUAGACAAACGUGAACUUGUCUAUGAGAAGGCUGGUAUAUGUGACUACUUCUUCAGGAUUGAUGCCGAUUAUGUGGUAUGAACGUUCAGAGUUGUUAUUUUAUGUUUUUCUGUUUCUUUUGGGUAUUGACAUGAGCAACUACCUUGUACUUUUUGCUUCUGUGGAUUACAUGUGCUCUUUUAUUUUCUGUAGAUUGACGCUACCCACCGGGGUGGGAUCGCUCGGUACAUUAAUCAUUCUUGUGAGGUAUGCAUUCUGAUCAACAGCAAACAGUUUCCAAAAAGUAUAUACUUUCUUCGGUAUUAGAAGUAUAUGACUUGCUAAACAAUGACCUCUUUUUUUACUGUUGCAGCCAAACUGUGAAACUAGAGUGAUCCUUGUCAAUGGAGAAAAGAAAAUAUUCAUUUAUGCAAAAAACAAGAUUAAGGCGGGUGAAGAGCUUACCUACAAUUAUAAAUUUCCUUUUGAUGAGAUCAAAAUUCCGUGCCUAUGUGGUUCAAAGAGGUAAACUUUCUCUGUUUGUACUCUUUGCCAUAUGUCCUGGAACCUGAUGGUUUAAAUAUGACAUUUUGUCAUUUUCAUGAGACCAGCUUGCCAUUUUGGAACACCGUACUAUAUUUUCUUAUAUUGGGAAUAAUUAGCUGUACAUAUUUAGUGGAAUAUUAACUUAUUAAAUGCACUGCACAUAUCUUCUCGGGAGUGCUUUGGUUCUAGUUCUACGAGAAAUAAUAGCUUCUCCAUGCGCUAAAUCGAAUAAACUAACUCUUCAUAUGAUCAUAAAUAUGCUUACAUAAAAAUAAAUGUUACCACUUGCUCAACAUUUGAAAAAAAGAUUAGUUUGUUCUUUAAGCUCUUCUGCUGAUAGUGGUUGCAUGCUCCUUCGAUUCCUAUACUGCUUUGCCCUUGAGCUUAUUUAUGUACAUCUCUAGGUGUCGUGGAUCGAUGAACUGAGGAAUGGAGUUGGCAAGGUAUGUUCUUGAUGAAUAGUUGCAUGUGUUUCCUUUUCUUGGUGGAAGUUCUCCAUGUAUUGACUUCAGUUUCUAGUUUUGGUUAUUUGAUUGUCUCCAUCCCUGUUGAUCUGCUUAGUUUUUUUAUCUAUGAAUCUAAGACGUUAUAUGUUGUCACUCACUUGGUCUCCAUAAAUGUGUCGGUGGUGAUACUAGGAAAGACGCUUGCUUUGGUCCAUGGGUGUUGCAGCCGGCAUUUGCUAUGGAGGUGUAGGGUGGGGCACUGGCUGAACGCAAGGGUCAUCGCCGUGUAGGCACCGUGGUCAGUAGAGGGGUAGGGGGGAAGGCUGAGAGAAUUAGGGAGGUAGAAGAGCAGCACAGGUUGGGAAUAGAUAUUUCCUUGCUUGCCUCCCUUACAAGGGGCAAUACAUCCUUACGUAGACCCUUUAGGCCGGCUACUGUUCACUAAACAGUAAUUCCACACACCUGGGUACUUCUAGGCUAAGCUGGGACCAUCUAAGAGACAAUUGGACUCUACCCACAAAGACUCUUCUACUAGGACUCAUACACACCCUGGAUACUUCUAGACUAAGCUUAAUAGAGGACUGGACUAAGAUGGCACAACAAUGGGACCAUGGUUUACGCUUGUAAUAUUUGGCUUUUCAAACUUCUCACUAAAGUCAGAUAUUAUCAAUUCAUCGCUUGGAGAGAUCUGCUGAACGUUUGGCUGCUUAUUUGUGAUUAAUUGAUCAUAACACUGGAAUGUUUUUUUAGUUUCAAUGUCAGUAACAAGUAUUGUUUCAGCCAGAAGCUUUAGGGGCUGUUUGGUUGGUGCUGAGUACCAUGCCUGAAAAUUUUAAGCGCCUGGCCUGAGCCUGAAAUUCCAGUGCCAUGCGCCAGGCUAGCCUGUGACACAUGCGUUUGGUUCGUGACCUGAGCCAGGCCAUAGACGGGAUGGCCAAAUUGGAGGAAAAGCAGUGCUGUACCGUCUGACCUACCCAUAUAUAUAUAUUUUUAUUUGCUUUUAGCCGGAGCCAGACCUCCUAUUUUGGUGGCCUGAGCCAGGCUAACCAUCCCGUGGCCUUCUCAGGUCAGGGAAGCACUGCGAGCUUCAGGCCUCCAACCAAACACACAUCCGGCAGCUUUCAUGGAUUCAUCCGGCCAGGCAAAUUUUGGUCAGGGUGGCAACCCAAACAGCCUUGUGCAAUGGCUUAUACAUGAGGUAGUCAAUAACCAUCAUAGUGACUACUCUGUUUUGAGGCUCAUUUUUUCUCAUCACAGUACACUCUUAUUCAGUAUGUUACUCUGAGUCGUCUAUCUGACUUCCGGACCAUGAGGUUCGAGUUAAGUCCAAUUUAACCACCAUGUGAUAAGUAUUGAGUUUAUGGGCUGAGCAGUCCACUCCACAUAAGCUUCUGUGGAAAGGUAGGCAAUCAGUCUCGUGGUGCUUCAGCAAUAAGAAACUGAGCUGCACUUAAAUGUUGGGUAUUAUUGAUAUGGAAUAGAUUGUAGUGUACUAGCCUACUAGGGUGUUAGGGAGAAAUAGGAGAGAACCCCUCGCCCCUGGAGGCAGAAGAAUUAUUCUUCCAAUUCUUGCUUUACAUAGCGUCCUAAUAACCUAAUCUAAGGGGUGUUUGGGCAGGUAGUAAAAUUUGUGUGGCCACAGCUAAAUACUAACGAGCGCACAAAAUUUACACCCAUUCCAAACGGGGCCUAAGUAGCAAACUGUAGAUAUAUCUCUAAUUGGCUCAAGGCCCAUGCUAAAGACAUCUUCCUAUUUAAAAGAUAAACUACAUAAUAGAUACAUUAUGGGGAUCUUCCUGAUAACAUAGUGUUUCCCAAUCUGUGGGCUACUUCCAUCAUGUUUCUAUUUCUCUUUCUUGCUCCUUUUUCUAGUUUUAACUGUAAUCUGAUUAAGUAUGCAGGUAUUGCUGGUGGUUCCGAGCAACUCAAUAUUCCAGAUCUCUUAUGUAAAACCAGUCGCCGGGUUGACUGGCAGGUUCUUUGAGUAACUUUGCGGCAGGCUUCCGGCCCCAAGAACAUUACCGACAUCAAUUUUUCGUACUGACAUUAUCAACAUCAUGUGUUCUUGUUAUUGUGUUUGUAUGUACUUGCAGCUUAUAUACUUCCUGUUUGCAUGUUGGUGUUUAGAUGGUAUUUGGUUUUACAUCACAUGACAAUACUGCACGGACACUAAAUGAUUUAGUGGCAGGUUUAUAAUUUUGCACUUAGGCCGACAAGUGAACUUCAUUAGCCUUUUUCUGAUUUUUUAUAUGAUAACUCAAAGUAACAUUAAUCUUGUGAAUACAAAUACACCCUAUCGAUAUGUUUGUAGCAAUGUAGCACCAUGGUACCACCCAUCUGGACUCACAGGCAGCGGGAGCCGUUGUCCAUAUCCAUUUGACUAACAUUGUAUCUUUAGUUGGUUUUGUAUGGACCAUUGGAUUGAUGGCAUGCCAAUCAGUCCAUUGCUCCAUCUGCCUCGGUAGCAAUCAACCAUGGAUCUGUGCCACAAGAACGGUUACUCAGGCCCUGCAGAACAAUUUCUAGGCUAGAGACAUCACUGGUACACUGACCAAGCCCAUCUUGGCCGAGUACCUCAUGCUCUGGAACCUGAUCAGCAUCACACCCCCUGCCGCUGGCCAGGAGGACGUUGUCCUUUUGCAUUGGGCCCCAUACCUACGUCUUCUUCCUUGGUCAGACGCUUACCCCGUACCAAUUUUUUUUCUUUGGGAAUCCAGGGUGCCUUUGUAGGCCUUUGUACUGCCAUUUCUUUCUCUGGAUUGUUCUCCAACAUUGUUGUUUGGCGGCUGGUAGGUUGGAGGCUACCGUGGAGUUACAUCCUAUGUAUCUAUCCAAAGUGGCAUUGAGCCUUUGAGCCUACCUCCUGUACAUUUUUGGGCUGAAGCCUGAUUGUGAAGUUAUUGGUUCACAAAAACCAUAUGUUUAGAACUGUAAAUUAGCAAGGGAAACCCGCAUAAGAAUUUACAGGAUACAUAAGUGAUUAUCAGUAAAUCCAGGAUAAGUUUGUUAAUUUAACCUUUAGUGGCCCAAGUUUUUUUACACAGGAAGUCCAGUAAAUCAUCUCUAAAACACUACCAUCCUCUGCUAGGAGUUGGCAGCAGUAUAACAGAACAUGCAAAUGAGCACUAGAAAGUGACUGGAUGACUAUAUCUGUUGGUAGAUCACAUGCUGGUGUACUAUAACGUAAAUUAUAUAUUGAAUAUGGUUCCCCCCCAUGAGGGUGGGACAUCUUGGUAGAUCGCAUGAUGGUGUACUAUAAUGUAAAUUAUACAUUGAAUAUGGUUUUUUCCCAUGAGGGUGGGACAUCUAUAAGAUGAUCUAAGAUGACCAAGAUCCGAGAGAGGAAGACUAGGGAUGUCAAGUUGUCAACCAAGUCAAAUGCAUCAAGGAAGGAACAAAUUUGCUUCUGCUGAAGGACGAGGAGUUCAAGAAUAAAUGGCGGGACUACUUCGACAAACUAUUCAAUGGAGAGAAUGGGAGCUCUGCAAUUUAGGCAGAUGGCUCUUUUGAUGAUACUAACAAACUUUUUGUGCAAUGAAUCUAGGAGUCUGAGGUCAAGGAGGCUUUAAAAAGAAUGAAAAGAGGCAAGGCAAUGGGCCUUGAUUGUUUCCUCAUUGAGGUGUGGAGAUGCCUUGGAUACAUGGUGAUAGUAUGGCUAACUAAGCUUUUCAAUCUCAUUUUUCGGUCAAACACGAUGUUCGAAGAAUGGAGGUGGAGUAUAUUAGUACCAAUCUUCAGGAAUAAGAGGGAUAUUCAAAGUUGUACUAAUGACCAUGGAAUUAAGUCGACGAGCUAUACAAUGAAGAUUUGAGAGUUAUUAAGCACCACUUAAGAAUGCCAAGCGUGACCAAAAAUCAGUUUAGUUUCAUGCCUGGGAGGUCGAGCGUUGAAGCUAUGUUCUUGGUACAACAACUUAUGGAGAGAUAGAGUGAGCAAAAGAAGGACCUGCAUAUGGUGUUCAUUGACUUGGAGAAUCAUGUGGUGGGCCUUGGAGAAACACAAAGUUCCAACGAAGUACCUUACCCUCAUCAAAGACAUGUUCGAUAAUGUUGUGACAAGUGUUCGAACAAGUGACGGUGACACUUAUGACUUUCCAGUGAAAAUAGGACUGCACCAAGGGUCAACUUUGAGCCCUUAUCUUUUUGCUUUUGUGAUGGAUGAGGUUACGAGGGAUAUACAAGGAGCUAUCCCAUGGUNNNNNCUCUUUGCAGAUGAUGUGGUACUAGUCAAUGAUAGUCGGAUGGGGGAUCAAUAAAAAAAUAGAGUUACGGAGACAGAGUCUGGAAUCAAAAGGUUCGUCUUAGUAGAGCUAAAACCGAGUAAUGAGGAGGAGGUUAGCCUUGAUGGGCAAGUGGUACCUCAGAAGGGCACCUUUUGAUGUUUGGGGUCGUACUGCAAAAGGAUGGUGAUAGCGAUGAAGAUGUGAGCCAUAGAAUCAAAGCCGGAUGGAUGAAGUGGCGUCAAGCUUUUGGCCUCCUCUGUGACAAGAGUGUCACAAAAUCUAAAAGCCAGGUUGUGUAGGGCGGCGUUGUAUAGGACGACGAUUUGACCUGCGAUGUUGUAUGGCGUAGAAUGUUGGCCAACUAAAAGGCAACGUGUCCAACAGUUAGGUGUAGCAGAGAUGUGCAUGCUGAAAUGGAUAUGUGGCCACACAAGAUAAGACCGGGUUUGGAAUGAUGAUACACGUGAUAGAGUUGGCAUAGCACCAACUGUAGAAGCUUGUCCAACAUCGUCUGAGAUGCUUUGAGCAUGUACAAUGCAGGCCUCCAGAAGCGCCAGCACAUCGUGGACGAUUAAAGCUUGCUCGUAAUGUCAAGAAAGGUCAGGGUAGACCUAACUUGACAUGGGAGGAGUCCGUAAAGAGAGGCCCGAAGGACUGAAAUAUCACCAAAGAACUAGCCAUGGACAGAGGUACGUGAAAGUUAGCUAUCCACGUGCCAGAACCAUGACUAGGUUUUGAGAUCUUAUGGGUUCACCUCUAGCCUACCCCAACCUGUUUGGGAUUGAAAGGCUCCACGAGACAAUUUGAACUCAAUGGCCUGCAUCUUAAGUGAGUACCGUUGUAGACAUUACAAUGCCAUUACCAAGAUGACCAGACAGAAGCACCAUACCUAAAACCAAUACAUUCCGGUAAAGGAGAUGAGAAACUUGGUUAGGUAAACCUAGUAUUUUUGUUUGACAUUGGAAUCGCCUUUCGCAGUUUGUGCAUUAAAGAUGGACAAAGAGGAAGCGAAUAUGGGACUGGAUUAGGCAUAGUGGAAGAUAGAACAUUGGUAGCCACUGAUGUAGUGUCGUACUAUAGGAUAUCCUUAUGUUAUGGCAAAACAGUAGAUGCGAAAAUGGAAGAAAUGUGCAUUAUGAUUCCAAUAAUUGUAUUAAAAAAGAUACAGCUAAAAUCUUCCAGAACCAAAUGCCUUGUCUAGUAACUAACAUUGCCCAGAAUAUCCAUGAAAUUAUCCAAGAGCAUCUUUAAGUAAUAAUUACAAAAAAGAAGAAGAUUGCAUGCAAGCGUAUCUAUUUUAUCGAUCUUGUAACUAUGAACAUGAUAGAAAUAUUGGAUGAUUGGAAUUACUGCGACAAAUUCAUAAAAAUAACGUGUACUUUACACGUUUGCACCAUCUGAUUAACUGGAAUUGGUUUUUCUAAAAAAACUAGCUAUUUGUGCAUUUGACAUUGUCUUCCUCCCUCCUAAUGGACAAAUAUGACCCGCAGUUAAUUAAGACGGUAAGCAAUUCUCUUCUGACAAAGCUGAUAACAUUCUCUAAUGUUUGGAUACCUAGUGAAACUUUCCUCCCCCCUUACCUUUUGAUGGACUCAACUAGGGUAUAUCAGUGACAUGAAUAAAGGGGGGAAUAUUGUUAAUGUAAGGUUUUUGUUUCUAUUUUGGCAAGUUUUGAAUAGUUUAGAAUUGAGGGACAGCUAUGAAAUUAAUUAUUUCCUUUUUAGAAGCAUAUGCAACUUCACGGUAGUAGCAAGCAGUAUGAAACUAUGAAACCAAGAAGAUGUUUCACACAUUUUCCUUAACAGGCGAACUUGAUUUUCUCUAAAUAAAUGUGUAUGCCUUAUUUGUCGCCAUUAAACAUACAUGGGCAUGUGGCAUUGUCACUUUAGGAAGGUUUCCAUGGUAAUUAUUGCUAACUCAAAAGUAACAAAUAGUGUGAUACUUUAUACUCCGUAUUUGUUUAUGGUUGAUGGUUAGCCUUCCACUGGAUUUAAGCACCAUAAAUUUUGCACACAAAAAUUUCCAACAAAUUUGGCUGCCGCAGAUUUAGCAAGAAAAGAAUGAACAUAUGGAUAUGAAUAGAAUAUUGAAAUAGUUAAAAAAAUGUAACAUUUUCACCAUAACCAUUUACCAAAAGAUGGAAGUAUUGACUGCAAACAUAACACACACACUUUUGCAAGAUUUUACGAAAUAAAUGGCUUUUGCCCUUUUUCAUUUUGGUUCUAUCUAAAGUGGUUUUGUUGUUCGGCAGAGAAAAAAUGUGACGUGAUAAUAGUAUCUCUUACCAUUAUUUUGAUAUAAAUCAUGCAUUGCAAAUUUGCAUGAUGAUACACUUGUGGAAGUUGCCUCUUAGUAUGGCGCAUUUAUUAAUGAACCUCUUGUGGAAGUUGCCUCUUAAUAUGGUGAGUUUAUUAAUGAACCUACUCUGUUCUUUCAGGUACAUAAAACUAUGUGGCCACCUUCAAACUCGCAAAUCACUGCAGUAUGUGUUCCAUCCCUUGCUUGCCUCAUCCUCUUGAAUUUGCAAAACUAUGUGGACUGCAAACAUAACAGAUUAAUCCAUAUUUUCUUUUGGUCGGUAUUGUGGAGACUUGAGACCUGUGCCUUGUCACAUGAGGCUUAAGUGUUUGCUGUCCUUAGCCUGUGUAAUGGGUGCAUAGAAACAUGAUUGAAAAGAGAAGAUAAACCCUAAACCCUAAACCCAAGCAAACCAUAUGGUAGGAAGGAGUGGAAAUGGGUCUAGUAAUAACGCACUUAGUUUUUUUUAAACAAAACUAUUAUUUUUAAAAAACCUAUGGUUUGCUUGGGUUUUUGUUUGCCACGGCAUCAAAGUUACCGACUUCAGCCUUUGUUAGAUGAGCAACAUGCAUUUAAAAGAAGAUAUGUUGCAUCAUCUUUUCAGGCGAUGUUUUUCUAGUGAGAUCCUUUUCAGGGAAUGUUGAUCAUGAUUCACGAGGAUCAUGCCAGCUAGACAUGUGUCAAGUGCGUACAAUUAUUAAUGACGCUAUUAAUGCAUAUCUGGGCAUUUCAUCCAUUGCCAGAGUAGAAGGUACUAUUUCUUUUGGAACUUUCUGAUGCAUGUAUUCCUUGUCAAUAAAGAGCAAAUCAAGGUAAUAUUUGAACACCUAUGAAAAAUCUCUAAAGAGGUGACAAGUUAAUGACUUGUGAGUAAGCAUCAAUCCCACAUUUGCUUAAUAACUCCAUCCCACUUUUUUUGUGUCUUUAUUGCGUUAAAUCUGGUACUAGUUUGCAGCUACUGAGCUACAUGCCAUUUUGACUGGUAUGGGAAGUGCAUGGACUUCUGGAAUUUUCUGGUACGUGGCACCUUUUCAUUAAGCAAUCACCUAUCCAGUGAUGUCAUGUCACCGGCCUUUGCUCGAUCGGAAGAGUGUUGGGUGGCGUGGGGUUGAAAGACCCUGUGCUCCUCCUUCGUAGCCGGUUCAAAUCCGGCAGGCCGGCAUCUGUUUCAUUAUCUGUGUUCUGAUGUAAAUAACAUCUUUGCUUGCUUUGCAAUUCCGCUGUCAAUUCUCGUUCGUAUUGUUCCAUGCGUUGGUUUGGGCGUUCCCUCAAAUUGGUCGUCUGCAUGCAACACCAGCUAUCCAUGGAAAACUUUAAUGGCCUCAUUAUGUUGCACUUGUAGCAAUCUGCUGGCAUGAAUCUAAAUUCCAAUUCUGUCACACUGCCACGAUGUACAUACAGACGGGCAGCCGAAAUAUUGGUGCUACAAAUACGUUGUAGUACAAAUUAGGCAGUUUUUGACAUCCCGUGAAUCAUGUUCUUAUCAAGCUGUUGUUCGCUUUGUUCUCUCCAUCAGGCAUUGGCGGCCGAAAAAGCUUGAGAGCGGUGUGUUUUAAGAGGUGGUGCUGUUCUAUUUUCACAGGCCGAGGUUGAUGAAGGUUUCGGUGGCCUCUUCGUUGAGUCGCUGCUCACUGGAAAGUUUGCCGGUGCCAGUCGAUGGUUCUGCCGUCCACUGAGGGUUGUAAAAUUUCCUGAAUACGGGUGUUAGUCCUUCAUGUGUGUCCUGUUUUUUUAUUUAGGGGGAAAUGACUCUCUUUAUACUCCCUCCGUACCUAAAUAUAAGUCUUUUAAGAUAUUUCAUCAGAUGUUUACAUACGAAGCAAAAUGAAUGNNNNNNNNNNNNNNNGUAUGUCUAUAUAUAUCCGUAUAUAGACCAUUAGUUGAACCUCUAGAAAGACUNNNNNNNNNNNNNNNNNNNNNNNNNNNNNNNNNNNNNNNNNNNNNNNNNNNNNNNNNNNNNNNNNNNNNNNNNNNNNNNNNNNNNNNNNNNNNNNNNNNNGCUUCAGACCAAUUUCUUCAGCCAAAGANNNNNNNNNNNNNNNNNCGAUAUUCAUCGAAUAUUUCAUACUCCUCAGCGACUUAUAAAUUCUAUAUGUACACUCAUGAACACAUUAGAUACUUAACCUAUAAGUCUUUAGGCCAUUAAAAUCACUAAAGGGCACUAAAUGCACUUACAGUGUCAACUAACUUACCGUCCUUGCAUCACUAGAAUAGUCAUCGAUAACUCAUACGUGAUAUUAAAUACUCCCUUUGUUUCGUAAUGUAAGACAUCUGAGUAGUAAUUAUUUUCGAAAAAUCUUUGUGCCCGUGGCCUAUCCCAGAUUGCAGGGAGGAGGCUGGCUAUUUUGGAGGGCAAAUAAUCUUGUGCAGUCAGACACUUGAAUAAAAGGUCAAAACUGUUUUUGCACAACCAAAAAGAGACUAGUGAAUUAGUACUUCCUCCGUCCCAAAAUAAGUGUCUCAAGCUUAAUACAACUUUGUAUUAAAGCUAGUACAAACUUGAGAUACUUAUUUUGGGACGGAGGGAGUACUUCGUUAUUCUGAUUCGAAAUUGAUCAUGGCUAAAAUCAUUAGCGUCUUGGGAACGUUGCUACGCCAGGCCAUUGAAAAAAAAAUGAAAGAAACUACUCCGACCGGAAAAAAAAACUUGUACAUUGGUAGCAUUCCUGCCUUGAUAAUAUUCUCAGCCGAACAUAUUAGGAAGAGGCCUCAGAGCCAUGAAUGUAUCAACCAUCUGCACAAGCAGGAAAUUGUCAAAUAGACAAGAAAUAUAUGUUAAAUCGAUGCAUAUUGCCGAGAUGAGCACUUCGUUAAGAAACUAUAGCCAUGCUGUCGGCCGUGCUUGCAUAUACAUGCCCGCUACUGUGCAAAAUAUGCAUAAUAUAAUUACGUGUGAGCACAGCAGAUAAGAAAUAUAUUUUUCUUGCCGCAAAGAUAAUAAAUAUCAUUGCGCCGUGCUCAUUGUCUACUUCAGAAUGUACAGAAGUGUGCAAUAUCAGUAUAUGACAAAUAUGAUGAACUGCAUUACCUCCUCAGUCACUUGAGCUCUAGCCCUCUUAUGUCUUUCAAUCAGCUGAUAUAGCACGUCACCAAGAAGAUUCUUUACUUCAACAGUUAGCCGGCUUCCAUCCCCGUAACCCUGACAUUGAGAUUCACAACAUAAAUUCAAUUGAGGAAAACUAGGUAGAGGAAACAUAGCAAAUAAACUAAAUCCCAUAUAUGUAUUAUAACUUGAAAUAUUACCUUCUUUAUUAGCUCGAGCUCAUUGUCGUCUUCAAGGAAGAAGUUCAGGUACUUAAUCGGGACAUCCACCUGAACACCACAAUUAUAAUUCACUGAUUGGAUUUGUCUUACUUAAGGAACCCAGUACACGACAAGAAUAUUGCAGGAACAAAACAAGAAUAAGACAGUGUGUGAAUGAUGCUUUGUCACGAUGACGUUCAUCUCAGAUUGUAGGCCAGCACAUGUAAAUCACUAGCAGGCUGUCUAAUCAUACAUGUAUAGUACUCCCUCCAUAAACAAAUAUAAGACAUUUGAACUCUUUUCUGAUUCAGAUGUAUAUAGACGCAUUUUGGUGUAUUAUUCACUCAUUUCAGUCCGUAUGUAGUUCAUAAUGUAGUAUCUAAAACGUCUUAUACUCAGUGGCGGAGCAUGAACCAAAUAUUACGGGGGCCAUAUGACUGAAUAUGACAUAGAAAAGGCUAGAGUGAUGUGAGAGUACGAAGAAUUAGUAGAGCGAUUAGCUGAAGGUAGGCUUAUUUGGCAGAAUUUUUUUCUAGGAAGAGGGGGCCAAGGCCCCUAAUUGUCCCCAAGACGCUCCGCCACUGCUUAUAUUCCCUCCGUUCCAAAAUAAGUGUCGUGGAUUUAGUUCAUAUUUGGACUUAUUUGAACUAAAACCAUGACACUUAAAAUAAAGCCCACUUAUUUUGGGACGGAGGGAGAAUUUGUUUACGGAGGGAGUAUCAAAUAAGUCGGACUAUAAAUUUGAAGGUAUGCUCAGCGCUUCCCAACUGCAGAUUCUGUAGGACUGAAAGCUUUUCUUGAUAUAUAGUUAUAUACUCAAACUAUUUAUUUAGUUUAAGUUUUGCAUCUCAAGCAAUACAUCUCAGAAAGUAGUGUACAAUACAGGAAAUCGGAGAAGCAAAAAAAGCUUGCCAUCUGCACUAAUUUGUUGUCCAAUAAAAAGUGCUCAAGAGCAGGACAAGGGCUUACCUCAAGGUUAGCUCCAAGCUCUCUUUGGAGUUCCUCUGAGUCUUGGCCACCUGAGAAAGCAUAUUUGUUCACCUGGAAAACGAAGAAUAAUAAUGAUAAGCCUGUGAUAUAAUAGAACAGUCACACAGUCCAUUGUUCCAUCUUUGGCUCAAACUAGCAACCAUUUCACAAAGAAAAGGACUAGCUCAAGAUAUGUACUUGUCGGCAAGUAUUUCUCAGGUCAAAGUUAUGCUCACGACAAACCUUCGUCAUUAUUUCUUUUUCAUUAUCUGUCACAUAUAUUCAGUGAUGGCUUUUGACAACCAAUUCUAGGGGCAACGUCACGGGUCAUCCUGAAAUAAGGAUCCUGGCAGAAUAGAAAAGGAAUCAACUGACAAACAGAUGCUUGUUGACAAAAUAUGAACAUCUACCAACAGAUCAGCAUCUAUGACGAAAUUAUUCAAACAUGCUUUCAGCCCAGAUCAUUUGACGGCUUAUGGCAUAAGACACACCUUCCCCAGUUUAUUUUAGAAGCCGCCCCCAUAUUAUUCGUUGAGGCUUCUAAACUAGUUAAUCAAAUAAGCUGGGGAGGGGGCAGCUUAUUUUAGAAGCCGCCAACAGAACUGAGCCUUCUUGAUAUUUGCAUAGGAAUAAAGACAUUGGUAUUUGAUAGGAUAUAAAACCAAUCAUGUUAAACAAGAUGAUUAUUCAAAAGAUAUGUUUAUACCUGGUCUAUUGCACAUGGGAUCAGGCACCGUAGUUGUUCCAUGCCAGAGAAGAGAUGGGGAAAUGAAGAAGGGAAUGACGGAACUGCUUGCACAGGGGGAAAGCUAAUCUUUCCUAUGUGAUCCUCUUGACUGAAUCCAAAUAUUCCUACAGCCUGUCAUUCAAGAGUAAACUAUAUUGGUGAAAGAUAAUGCUUCAAGGCAAGCAAACUCGAUUUUGGAAUGUAAAACAUUCUCCUUUUCAACUGAAGAGCUCUCACCUUAUUAUAUGUCACACAUCUGGCAACUUUAACCAUGUUUUCAUAAAAGGCGCUGCAAGGAAAGGAAAGAAGAAUUAAUUUGACACCUAGUAAACAAAGCUGAUAUGAACAGCAUACACUUCACUUGCUUAGCGACAGAAUUAUCUGAACAGAAACAAUAUGUGCCACAAGGUCAAAAAUUAAUCAGGUCUACAAUUAAAAUGGGUAACCUUACCCUCCAACAAAAUUAAAAUCAGAGAAAAUGAAAGUCUUUUCCACAUCAAAUCCACAUGCUAUGAUGUCUUUUGCAUUUUCACGUGCAAGCCUUUUGCUUUCGUUAACAGUCAAAUUCUUCCACAGGAACUUCUCAUCAUCAGUGAGCUGUAUUACCAGUGGCACCUUAAAAGCAUCCUGCAAAUAUCUGAACAAAACACUUGAUGAUUAAUCAACAUUGCCCAUGGUUACUUACAAAAUAAAACAUGGGAGCAGGACCACAGUGCAAGAAUUAAAUGGCCAUUUAGUUAGUGUAAAUGCUACAUAAAGGCUAGGUAGUAUAGUAUGCAUUUUGGGCUGUUGUGUAUUUAUGGUCUACUUAAACAUGAAUGCAUCCUCAUUGUGCCACCUAACAUUUCUUUUUAAAUAAGGUAAUUGAUGAUAUGCCAUCUUUUACUUGGCAAAUUGCCUCAAUAUUAUUGUUCCAUGCUGCAUAUAUGCCAAAUUCACAUAAAAAUCUUUAUUGCCCAUGGACACAUAAAACAACUCAAGCACAGAUCCAGAUAACAGAAAAGGAAACACACCCACGCACCCGGAAAGGCCCCCGCCAAAAUAAAAAAUAAUCACUACUUCAAACCGAGGCGACUAUCACGGCAGAGCCAUCAACCACCGAAGCAGACUAUGAUAUCGCGGUUGCCCCUUUUGUUAUGCUACUUUGUAUGGGUGGGAUGUGAAGUUACUUAAGGUUGAUCGUUAUGGAUAACACAGUAAUAUUAUGUCAGUUUGUUGUCUUUGACAAUGCCAUAAACAGGCAUGAAUUUCCGGUGCGAAUUUUGUGCAUUAUGCUCUCUCUGCAUGUGUGUGGCUACAGGCAUGCAGGAUGACUUCACUUCAGCAUCAGAAACAUACGGGCUUCGCAAGAUUCUAGAUCUGGAAACAAACUGGGAACAACUUCACACGUCAUUAAUUACAUCACAGGUUAUUCUAGCGAAAAAUAUGGCCCUACUGGUUACUACCUCGCUGUGACAGCAGCAUUGCCCAGUUACACUUACGCAACACAGCGAAUCAACGAAGAUGAGCUGAAGCUUCAGGCCUGCUUACUUGGUGAACAUGAAGGGGACGAGGUGGCCGAGGUGCAGGGCCUCCGAUGAGGGCCCCCUCCCGGUGUAUAGGUAGAACUUCUCGCCUUUCUCGUAAAGGUCAAGGAUCUCGUUGAAAUCCCUGCCCGUAACAAGAUAAAGAUUGUCAGCGAUUUCUCCUACGACACAGGGAAAAAAAAGGAGCGAGCACAACCGGUUUUGCAACGGUACCGGUGGGCGAAGAAGAGACCCCGGCGGAGGAAGCGAUGCGGGGGGCGACCAGUGAGGCGCGCGACGCGGUCGAUGGUCGCUGCGUCCAGGCGCUGGCAGCCGAACUGAUCCACCAGCUUGUCGUAGUCGAUGCCGCCCUUACCGGCCGACACCUCCCACGGGUUCACCACCUGCUCCUCCUCCUUCUCGACCUCCGGCGCCACCGCCGUCAUAGGCAGCGGGCUGCAGGAGGCGGAGGAAAACCGGCGGGGUUAGCGGCGGACCGGUUCACGGGCGGCGCGGUGGGCGGUCAGGCUAUCCUCCUUGAUGUCUUUUGCAUUUUCACGUGCAAACCUUUUGCUUUCGUUAACAGUCAAAUUCUUCCACAGGAACUUCUCAUCAUCAGUGAGCUGUAUUACCAGUGGCACCUUAAAAGAUCCGUCGACCGACCCAUAGCACGUCCCUAUAAUCUAUCAACAAGGUGAAAAUGAUAAACCAUGGGUGCUAGUGCCCAUGGAGUUUCAUUUUUUUUAUACCCCCUCCCUGUAUUCUAUGCUAGAAGGUUUUCUCCUAGGUCCUUCGACUAGGGUUUUCUAGUCCUGCGACGGUGUUGCCACCAUGAGUUCAACCGAGCCCCUCCCCGUCCAGGCCGCCCUCUUCUCCCUCGGUUCCUUCCAGGGAGUUGUGCGCGCGUGGAGUUAGUGGUUCGUGAGAUCGAUCCACCGCUAUCUGCCAUGGCAAAAACUGGUGAAGUCAAUGGAUCGCAAGACCAAAUGAAAGAGAGAAAAAAGCUUUUAGAGCGGUUGAACCUUUAGGAUGAGGAGAUAGAUGAUUUGUUUUGGGAAGAUGAGAUCGAUGUGGAAAAAAUCAAGCCAAAGUGGCUAGCCCUAGGGCAGCUGUAAACAACAAAUAGCUUUUAGUGAGAGCGUGUUGAUAGCAGACUGGAACCCAACUCAAAGGGUCGUAUGGAGGUGAAUCAAUGUAAUUUUUUUAACUAUUCAAUUUGAUUGCCUUAAUGACUAGAACAAAGAAGUGCACCAGGGUCCAUGGGACUUUAAAGGCAUGAAGCUCCUACUCGUUGAGUAUGAUGUGUUCUCAAACCCAUAGAAGUUGAAAUUGGAUAAGCUGGAUGUUGGGAAUAUGCCCUAGAGACAAUAAUAAAGUGGUUAUUAUGAUAUUUCCUUUUUCAUGAUAAUCAUUUAUUGUCCAUGCUAAAAUUGUACUGACCGAAAACUUAAAUACAUGUGUUGAUAUACAAACAACACCGCGUCCCUAGUGAGCCUCUACUAGACUAGCUCAUUGAUCAAAGAAGGUUUCCUAACCAUAGAGAUGAGUUGUCAUUUGAUAACGGGAUCACAUCGUUAGGGGGAUGAUGUGAUGGACCGUAAUAACUUNNNNNNNNNNNNNNNNNNNNNNNNNNNNNNNNNNNNNNNNNNNNNNNNNNNNNNNNNNNNNNNNNNNNNNNNNNNNNNNNNNNNNNNNNNNNNNNNNNNNACUAGCUCUAGUACAAAUUUAUACUAAGCUUGAGACAGUUAUUUUGGGACGGAGGGAGUACUAGCCAAGACCACUGAUUAUUUGAUCUACAAUAAAAAGGCCAAUGACUGUCUUCAAAUGCCUCGUGUCAGUUCAGCAAUCUGUCGGUACCGUCAGAAAUAAUCUUCCCUACUUGCUUAACACACACUGUCACACGGAUUCAAUCUACUUAAAUAUGAAUGAAAAAUUCCUCUGCGACCCCCCAUCAUGCUCAGUGUGGCAUACAUAAUACGCAUAGUGCCGUACCGAUUUCCAACCUGUUCUAUCUGCUGCUAAAACAGUCAGGGAUUCCACACUAGGGGUAGCUUCUGACUAUAUGCCGGUACGGACCACAUCGCUGCAUCCCAACUUUUAUUAUUAUUUUCAAGCAACCCAACUUAAAACAUCACAAUCCAUCACUACUACAAAAAUAGGUUAACAUAAACAUCAUUAACACUAAAAAACUUGGGGUGGAUUAAUGUGGUUAAGCUACAAUAAAGCUGGAUUCCAUCUCAUAUUUAUCCCCUUUUCAGAUAAAUUAUUACAGAAAAUACCAAUUUGAACAAAGAUAAAAAGAUCAUGCGCUACUCACCUUCUGACUGGAGAAUUUGAGCACGCUUUCUCCUUUCUGCCUCUGCUUGCAUCUCCAUAGCAUUCUUCACACCCGAUGGAGGAGAAAUGUCCCCUGCAAAGUCGGUUUAGAAAUAUCAGAAAUUUAACAGAUAUAUAAAUCUAACAGGUCAAAAAACAGAAAAAUGUACUGAUCUCAGAGGGAAGUCCUAUGCAGAAUUGGUUUAGAAACACCAGAAAUUUAACAGAUAUAACUGUAAUAUCAAAAACAGAAAAAACAUACUGAUCUCGUAACGAAGACACUUCAAGCCCCAGUCUGUCGCAGCCUCAUUUAUGGACCUCUGUGAAAAAAGAAUUUCAGAAGGUACCAUGUAUAACUGUGCUGAAGUAUGAUAAGGAGAUGGAAAUAGUGAAGCCCGCUACAUUAGAGGAAAAAGAGCACAUGACUUUGUAAGAUUAAGUUGCAUCUUGGUUAAGGAUGCUAGUUAAAAGGGGCAUGAUUUUAAGAUACAGCUACUUCAUGACAAACAUCUAGUGACAGUGAUCCACAUAAGGAGGCAAUCAAUCUUCAACGGAAUUGUACAAUUAUUCUUCAGAGAGGAGCUUUAUAUAUAGAAACUAGGAUGUUGUUGCCGAAAACUCAGAUGCAAUAAAGUUAUUUUACCUUUCAGGCUUUCACAUUUAAUGUUACUGUCCAAAGUGAAGACGCCUGCUGUUUUUGCAACUGCUCUUUAUAUUCCAUGUUUAUAUUUGUAAGUUAAUUCCUCGUUCUUGCAAAAAUUAUUUAAUACAUAAACAAACAUUUAUUUUACCAGCAGUGCAAUGUAAACAACCACACUUAACAAACUCUAGCGAUUCUGAAUAAAUGAGAUGAGAACAAGGAUUUCUUGGUAUAUAGAUGAUGUACAAACCAUAGUAUGAACAAGGAUUUCUUGGUAUAUCUGUUUAUGCUCUUUCCACUGUACAGGUUCAUAAUGAGCAUUCUUGUUAUUUUUACUAGUCUAAUUUAUGUAUAUGCAAAUUAACUAAGAAAAAGGAAGUUAUUAUAAUGAACAAGGAUUCCUUGGUACAUAGAUGAUGUACAGACCAUAGUAUUACAGUUAACAUAAGAACACUUCCCAUUACUUUAAUUACUUGUAAUAACUUGUAGGUGUUGUUUUCUGCAACAGUUGCCUUGAUAUAGAAAGAAAAACAAGUAGUUCAGAUGCAAACAAAAUGUCAUACCACAAUCUUCUCAUUCAAUGUGUCUCUCUCUUCAAAAGUCUUGUCCAAAGUUAUCUUUCCAAGCUCACUUCUCAUAGUUGUCUGCGCAAGUUGAAUGACUGCAAAAAUGGGAUUCUCCACGCCAUAUGAAGCACGGUAGGGAUCAACAAUCUGCAAAGUUGGAAAACAGAAAGAUAAGAACUAAUCAACUGUGACCAAAUUAUCUGAAAGUGUCAGAUAUCCUCAAGACAGAUAAAGCAACCUUGCUUAACUUUUACGAUCAAACAAAACAUAUACAUACCCCAGAAAUACAAAUCUAACUACCAAUUAUGCCAUUCAUCACAGCAGCCAUCCACCUUGAACCAUUUCAACAGCAUUGAAUAAAAAAAACUAAGUGUGGUCCCAUGAAGCCUGUGAAGAUUACAUGACAAGGAAGUGAGCAGCACAUGUACAAAUACAACUCCUUGCAAUGGAGCUUUACCUCCAUAUCCCCAAACAAUCUAAACAGGAUAUACCCCAAACCAUGUGAAAUGCUGAACAAUGGACCUACAAAUUACCAAGAGAGUACCUAAGUCGAUUAUUAUUACAAAUGUAUGCACCCUCUGCCAAAGAAAUUUGAACAGCAGCAUAUCUACGCACUUGCUUUUAAAGUCAAUUGUUACUGCUGUGGCCCUAGGUCAGACCCUAACACAUUUGUGCACCACAAGUCCAGAGCCUUGUUCAUUAUGGACCCUCAGCAACUACACAGAUGCACAUAAGCCAGAUUAACAUGGACAGCAGACAAGGUAUGGAAGAAUGAUACAAGUGCCAACAUCCCAGUCAAAACUAGAAGUAUGGAACAACAUUGGUUGAUAUCAUGUAACUGACAGGGGAUUACAGGAUGAGGCCGUGCAUCACCUUAGGUUUGCUAAAGCUACAGCUGUUCAAAGUGAGCCCAUGCAUUGAUCACAUUAAACAUAGGCCAUGACAUCUACAGCUCAAUGCAAUCAGAAGGAGCAUGCUAUACCCAUCCUCAAGUCCUACAGAAGUAGAGCAACCUAUACCAACUGGACACCCAGUGCAGCAGUGCCACAAUAAACCCCAUUAUCCCCACAGAAGUAGAGCAACCUGCACCAACUGAACAUGCAGUACCACAAUAAACCCCAAUAUCCCAUGCUGAUAAAUACCGGAAAAAAAAUACCAACUAUAGGAUAUCUUUUCUGUCCUAAUACAAGGCGAGCUGACUCUGUGAAUGUUUCAGAAGUGGAUAACUAAGGUGAACAGAAAUCUUUAGUUUGCUCAGGAAGUGGCCACAAGAGGAGGAACCUAGAAAAUGUGCUCCCAUAAUUUACAAGUAUAGGCAUCACACACGAAAUCAGUUUAACAACCAGAUGAAAUUGUCCUAAACUCCAAAUGAGUAUUAUCUACACGUCUUCACCCUCCCAACUUGGUUCUCCAGAGUAAUUUUCAGUGCAACAGAACUUCCGGAUUGGAGUAUCAAACCACCACCAACAGCAGCAAUACAGCAUGAACUUGAAGCUAUAAAAAUCCAUCGUUGAGGCGCAUUUCUAAGACCAGAUGAUAUGCCCUAAUUCAAUGUGAUGGUGGCUCAUGACAACAUAUCACACGAAACUUGUCCCGAAACACGCAGCAUUCAUCCAUCACUCCCCUAGACGACCGGAAAAGCACCAGACCCCUAGAAGUAACAGCAGAAAUGCAGCCUCGCUAGUGAGGACCAAAGAGGCAAGGCGAGAACGAGGUAUACCUUGACGUAAAGGACGCCGUCGAUCUGGAUGACCACGUUAUCCUUGGUGAUAGCAGACUGGUCGGGGAUGGGGAUGGCUUCCUCCUUGAGAGAGUGCACGUAGGCGAUGCGGUCGACGAGGGGGACGAGCCCGUGGAUCCCGGAGUCGAGCGUCUUGAGGUACUUGCCGAAGCGCUCAAUCACGAAGGCCUUCUUCUCCGGUACGAUGCUCACGCCCCAGUUCACCGGCGUGCUCAGCGCGUCGAACCUGAUACCACACGGCGAAACGUCAGGCCGCUAGAAGGUUCCGGAACGCGGACGGAAGAGUUAGGGAUUUAAGCGUUACCGUGAAACCUCGUCACGGGCGUAGUAGCGGGACAUGGAGCGGGCGGCGCCGAGCUGGCGGGGAAGGAGGAGAAGCUGCCGCGCGGGGGCGGCGGAUCGGCGGAGGAGAGUCGCCAUCGUGCGAAAUCGGAAGGGAAGAAACUGGUGGGCUUUUCGGGCGACUCGGGUAGACGGAAGGAAGUGUGAGGUUUUCCUCCGGUGAUUUAGGCAAGUCGAUACUCUUUUCUAUUUAUUUUUCCUAUUUUUUUCUAUCACAAAAAUAAUACCAAUAAAAACUUCAAAUAUUAUUCUUUUGGACCAAUGGUAUAACAUUUGUGACAUUCGGGCCUGUUUGGGACUGCUCUACUCCAGAAAAUUCAGCUCCGCUCUAGAAAAUAUAAGCCAAACGGGGUAGCUUCACGAUAUACAGCUUCAAAAAAAACUAGAAUCUAGGGUCCAACUUCAUGUUUUUUAUGAAGCUCUCUAGGAGGUGCUUCAUAAAAUUGUAGAAGCUGGAGUUGGAGCGAAAUUACCCACCACUGUCACCCGUAAGUGGAUACCCCUUCGUUUCUCCCCUCUCAUCCAAUCAAAUAGAUCAUUUCCACCAAAGUUUCCAUUAGUGAAGCUGGAGUUGGAUAAAAGCCAAACGUUCUCUUUGAAAAAGCUACAACUUUCGUAUGAAACUGCUCCAAAGUGGAUCUGAUGGAGUGGAGCUGCUUUUGAUGGAGCGGAGCGGUCCCAAACAGGGCCUCAAUUCAUAUCACACUGAUAAAAAAAAUAACUCUUCCUCAUGUGAACCAAAAACCCUCUCCUCACGGACUACCCCAAGAGAGAACUUCAGCACGCUCCCGCCGUGCGUCACUCCGACCUCGGCGUCCACCCCUCCCGUCGUUGGCCACUCCGGCCACGGUGGCCACCACCCGCCCCGGCGCCCGCAUCUCCGGCUACGGCGCCUCCCUCUCCCCCCUUCCUCGCCACGUCUCCCUCCCCUUGGUCGAUCAUGUCGUCAAGCUCGAGAUCUGUGAACUCCACCUUCCCUCGACGGGAGCGGCCAGUCGUUUCCGGCUUGGGUAUCUCCUCGACGUCAGAGAAGUCGGCGGCCGACGCUUCACCGGGGGUGCCCCAAGCCCCGGGCGCAGAGGAUGUAUACUGCCGACGUCUUGCGCCGUGGCAAGAAGCUCCACCGUUCAGGAAGACUCUUUGGAAGCGCAGGCAUGGCGUCGGUCAGCCGGAGAUUGCGUCGGCCUCUCGCCUCACUCCCCUGACCCGCAAGGAAGUCGACCCCGAGACGUGUGACAAGUGCUUCAGAUGCCUGGAGAAGGGGCACUAGCGGAGCGACUUCACGAACGACAUCGUGUGCUUACGUUGCAGCAUGCCUCGUUAUGAAGCCAAGGACUGCAAGAGGCCGCGAAGCCCGGCGCCGAAAGAGGAGCUACAGCGCGAGGAUGUUGCAAAGGUGGACAGGUGGUCGGGCUCGAUUGGCGCGGUCAGGGGUCCCACGGCUUAUCGGCACAUUCGUUCCCCUCCCCAGCGCCCCCCCCCCCCGCAUCUCCCGUACCUGCCAGCCGAUGGCCCCGUCCCGAUNNNNNNNNNNNNNNNNNNNNNNNNNNNNNNNNNNNNNNNNNNNNNNNNNNNNNNNNNNNNNNNNNNNNNNNNNNNNNNNNNNNNNNNNNNNNNNNNNNNNCGAGGCGAUGAGGACGACGAACGCGCCUAGUCGCUGACUCUGCGGGUCCACACGCAUUUCGUGCCAAAACCGCUUCCCCUGGCGACCCCGGGCGCCCCCCAGUGCGCCGGGUUCGGCCUGGGACCGCCGGGGCAAUUCGGCCCUAACCGGCGAAAAACAGGCUCCUGGGGGCGUGACUGGGCCGUUUUUUUCACGCCGCCGACAAAGAAGGGCCUUGGGGGGCUUUUGGGGGGCGUGGCUGGAGAGGCUCUUAGGGUUUUCUGUACAAGGGGGCAGUACAUAUAUAGGCUGCUAGGUUACAUGGGUCAUAGCGCGUGCGCACACACACACACUGAAGCAUAGUGAAGGCACAAGCCCAAAAGGCACAGCCCAACACUCCCCCUCAAGAGGGAUGAUAGAUAUUUAUCAUGCCCAUCUUGUCACAAGCAAGACUGCUCUCCCUGGUUCCGAAACCUUUUGUUAGACAAUCGGCGACUUGUUGUCCAGAGCUCACAUGAGUUACCUUGAUGAUUUCUGCAUCCAGUUUCUCUUUGAUAAAAGAAUCUGUCUAUCUCCACAUGUUUUGUUCUGUCAUGCUGCACUGGAUUAUUAGCAAUGCUGAUGGCAGAUUUGUUGUCACACCACACAUUCAGAGGAUCUUGUCUGAGCACCUUCAGCUCAAGCAAAAGGCCCCUUACCCACAACAUCCCACUCAGGCCUUGAGAAAUUGCCCUAUACUCAGCUUCUGCAGUUAAUUUUGACACCAUCGGUUGUUUUUUGCUUCUCCAUGAUACCAAAUUUCGACCACCAAACACACAAUAGCCAGAGGUUGAUCGUCUAUCAUCAAGACAGCUAGCCCAAUCAGCAUCACUAUAACCGUCAACAUUCAAAUAGCCAUUACUCUUGAACCAGAGCCCCAUACCAAGGCUGCCCUUAAGAUACCUCAGGAUUCUAUAGACUGCAUCAAGGUGUCCACUUCUACGAUCAUGCAUAUAUCUACUUACUACACUUAUUGCAUAUGUAAUAUCUGGUCUAGUGUGACAUAAAUACAGAAGUUUGCCAACCAAUUGUUGAUAUUUUCCUUUGUUAUCUUGUUCACCCAUCUCUGCUGUCAAUUUGUGAUUUUGUUCAAUGGGAGUUGGGGCUGCUCUUCAUUGUCUCCCGUUAUUAUGAUGUCAUCCACAUAUACCGCAAGAAUAGCAAUCUGUUCCCAAGCAAUUUUCUCUUCCCAAGCAUCAAUGCUACUGGUCGCACGACCCUUGUCAAGUCGGUCAUCUCUUCCCAAGCAAUUUUCUCGAUCACGCCUCUCAUGGUGCCGGCUGGCACGCUUAACAACCUCAACAAGUUGGAAAGGGCCUUCCUGUGGUCCGGUGCGAACAUGACAACGGGUGCUAGCUGCAAAGUAAAUUGGAAUUCUGUCUGUAGACCAAAGGAGUAUGGGGGUCUAGGGGUUCUCAACACCGACAAGAUUGCGCGGGCAUUACGUCUUCGGUGGCUCUGGUACGAAUGGAAAGCGCCUACCAAGCCUUGGGUGGAUCUUGGCAACCCAUGCACGCCGGCUGGUCGCGACUUCUUCUAUGCUUCCACUACAAUAAUUCUGGGUGACAGGCGCAAGGACGCCGUUCUGGGACUCUCCGUGACUGCUGGGGCGGAAACCCAAGGAUAUUGCACCAUUAUUUUUUGAGGCCUCCAGGAGGAAGCAUUGGAAGGUCCGUGAUGCUCUUAAGAAUCGUGCGUGGAUUCUCCAAAUAAAACCAAUCACAACUUUCACUGUGGACCACAUCCGCCAAUUCUUCACCCUAUGGAUGCUACUGCAUGACCUUCAACUGGACGAGCAGGCCCAUGACGAUAUCAUUUGGAAGCAUGCGAAUGACAGGAUUUACUCGUCUGCUUCCGCGUACAAGGCUCAGUUCCUGGGCUUGACUCUUUCUCCCAUAGACCAAAUGGUAUGGAAGGCGUGGGCACCACCUAAGGUGAAAUUCUUCGCCUGGCUAGCCAUACAAGAUCGUAUUUGGACGGCCGAUCGCUUGGAGAAGCGCGGGUGGGAAAAUUGUGGUCUAUGCCAGCUCUGCAAACGAGAGCAAGAAUCGGGGCCACAUCUGCUCUUUCAGUGCCUGUACACGUUGUGGAGAUCCAUCAUCGACAAGCUGGGACUUCCCAACGUCAAUACCGACCAAUGGCACCUCCAUGACUCUGUCAUGGACUGGUGGGACAAGAGAACUGACACGCGAAGCCAGAGUUCGAGUGUGAUGACCUCCCUCACCAUGCUCAUCUCCUGGACCAUCUGGAAUGAGAGGAACGCCAGAGUGUUUUGACACAAAUUUGCUCCGCCAUCGGUCCUCCUCACGGCCAUUUUGGAAGAGGCAAAAUUAUGGGUAGUUGUUGGUGCCAAGAAGCUAGGGUCUGUAAUAUUGUACGAGUAAUUGUCAUGCCGCGGCGGUGUACUGUAAAACUCUAAACUCUAUUCCCUCCUUUUUACUGGAUGAGGCAAAUCUUGUGCCUCUGUUUCUAAAAAAAAGAAUAGCAAUCUGUUGCUUGAAAUGUUUAUAGAAAACAGUAUGAUCUCCAUUGUAUUGUUUAUACUUUGUACUGCUAACUGCUAGCCUGAACCUGUCAAACCAAGCCCUCGGUGAUUGCUUCAAACAGUAGUGAGACCUUCUCAAUCUACAAACCUUCCCAACAGUCCCAGGUGUAGAAAGUCCAGGAGGAAUUUCCAUGUAGACUUCCUCUUGUAGAUCUCCAUGUAAGAAGGCAUUUUUGACAUCAAGUUGGUGUAGUGGCCAUCCAAAGUUAGCUGCACAGGAGAUUAGAAUCCUCACUGUAUUCAUACUCGCAACUGGGGCGAAUGUUUCGUCAUAAUCAAUACCGUAGGUUUGGCUGUACCCUCUAGCUCCUAGUCUUGCCUUGUAUCGCUCAACCUUACCCUCAGGAUUCUGCUUCACUGUGAAGAUCCACUUACAACUGACUGCCUUCUUCCCUUCUGGAAGAUUCGCUAGCUCCCAUGUUUUGUUCUUUCUCAGGGCCUCCAACUCUUCCCUCAUGGCUUCACACCACUUUGGAUCUUCUCUUGCUUCUUUCCAGUCUUUAGGAAUAACCACAGCUUGAAGUGAUGCGACAAAUGCUCUAAAUGAAGGUGAUAGGCUUCAUAGGUGACAUAAUUACUGAUGUAAUGCUCAAGAUUGCCCUUGCUCAAAGUUUUCCUUGCUACUUCCUUCUUGAGAGUAAUUGGCAGGUUAGGUGAUGCUUCUUCAGUACUUGAAUUCUCAUGUGAUUCCACUUCAGAUGAGCUUCCUGUAGCUUGAAUUUCUUCUAAUUGCUCCCCCUGUUUCAUAGUUUCUUUUGACUGCCCCCCCUGCACUUGUCCCUCCAAAACUCUCUUCCUUGUAUACACCUGAGGAUUCCUUUCCUCAUUUGGUCUUUGCCACCUCUGCUGUUCAGUCCCAUCAGCUACAACUGGAAGGAAACUAUUUUCCGGGGUGGUAUUGGCUGCUCCUUGCCACCAUUGGCGCUGCACUCACCACCCGAGUUGCACUGCCCCUCUUGACCACCCUGCAUAUGUUGUGGGUGGUCAAGUUCUUCGAAUGAAGUGCUGAGACCUGUCUUAUCACCAUAGAAAGGCUCAGAUUCUCGAAAAGUGACAUCCAUACUUACAAACGUACGCCUUUCAGCAGGAUUCCAACAUUUAUAGCCUCGCUGCCCCGCAGGAUAUCCAAGAAAUAUGCAUUUUACAGCUUGUGGAUCCAGCUUUCCCACUGCUGGUCUGUGACCUCGGACGAAGCAAGUGCACCCAAGUAACUUCGGAGGAACUGAGAAUUUGUUCUCCCCAAAUAGCAUCUCACACAGGGACUUCAUACCAAGCAUUCUUGAAGGCAUCCAAAAUUGAUCAGGAAAGUUGCAGUCAUGACAACUUCACUGCACAAGAAUUUUGGCACAUUCAUGGUGAACAUAAGUGAUCGAGCCACUUCUAGAAUGUGUCAGUUCUUUCUUUCUGCAACACCAUUCUGAGCAGGGGUAUCUGGACAUGAUGUUUGGUGCAUUAUGCCUUGUGCUGACAGAAAACCUCCAAAUUGCUUGUUUACAUAUUCAGUUCCAUUGUCAGAUCUGACCACUUGCACCUGCACAUUAAAUUAGUUCUGCACAUAGGCAUAAAACUCCUGAAAACAUUGGAAUACCUCAUCUUUAUUUCGCAUGAGGUACACCCAAGUCAUGCGAGUGUGGCAGUCUAUAAAUGUCACAAAAUAUUUCAUUCCACUGACAGAAACGACAGGACAUGUCCACACAUCAGAGUGAAUCAACAUAAACGGGGAUAUACUUCUUAGCCUCUUGUGUGUUUUGCAUAUUCACAUGCAUCACACCAAAGCUUACUCUUGUCUACUCCACACAUUACAUCAGGAAACAUCUUACUCAUCUUAUCAAAAGCCAUAUGCCCCAUGCGGCAGUGAUGGAUCAUUGCCAUUGUCUCACUUCCUCCAACUAGCAUAGCCAAAACAUGACUAGCACCAGACCUAGACACUUCACGAUCCAUAUACCACAAUCCACUAUGCCUGUUUCCUGUCCCAAGUUUCCUUCCAGUCAUCCUCUCCUGAAUCAAACAUAUUUUCCUUCCAGUCAUCCUCUCCUGGCAAUCUAUCUGAUCAAUCAAAGCACUUAGAGAAAGCAAGUUCACAGGAAAAGCUGGAACAUGUAAUACAUCAGAUAAUUUAAUAGUGGAUGUACAUUGAACUGAUCCAACUCCAUUAAUCGGUUGUGAAGUGCCAUCAGCAGUUUGUAUUGUUUCACAAUGUGUAACUGGGUAUUGAGUAUAUGAUUCAAACUCAGUUGAGGUACCCACAACAUGCUUUGUUGCUCCAGAAUCUAAUAUCCAAUCUGGAAGGAAAUCAUGUGUGGAUAUAGAUGCAUUUGCAAAAUUACCUUCCCCUGUGUAGACAACGUGGGCAAAGUUCCCAAAGGUGUUGUCCUCCUGGCUUCUACUCUUCGGCUCCCCUUGAGAGGCUGUUGACGCCCCUUCUUGUGUUGCCAAGUUUGCCUUGAAGCCACCAGAAUAAUUCAACCCCCUGGAGUUACCUCUGCCUCUAACUCCCCGGUAUCCUCCCCGGCUGCAACCUCUUCCCCUACCACGUAUUUCUCUGCGUUGUGCUGUGCAAUUGAGGCUUAUGUGACCUUUCACUCCACAGUUGAAGCACUCUCUUGUCUCCUUCCAUUCAGACACAGUAAAUGCUGAGCGAGAUGCAUUCACUUCUCCUGACCUCCUCCUGUACCAUUUCUGCAAUCGCCUCCUCAAGUGAGGGAAGCUUUGGCUGAUGAAACAACCCAGCAUGCCUCCCUUCAAAUUCCGAGUUAGGUCCCUUCAAGAAUUUCAUCACUCUCCUACGCUCUGCCCACUUUAUAGUAGCAACUAUACAUUCCGAGUGAGGUAACUCCAGUGGAUCAUAGUGGUCUAAGUCAGCCCACAAAUGCUGCAAUUCUGCCACAUAUUCCAUCACCGACUUAUCCCCUUGUUUUAGCUUAUUUACUCUAUCCUCAAUCUGCUGGGCAUGUGACCACAUGGGCCAUAGCACACACACACAAACACACACACUGAAGCAGAAGGCACAAGCCCAACAGGCACAGCCCAACAUGUGCCAUAUGUGUUCAAUUCUGAUCUAUUUCGAUCAAUGUCAUAGGUCAAGGAUGGCGAAGAAACCCAGCUGUACCACAAGAAGGGUAUGGAACAGCAAGCAUCAUACCUGAUCAAGGGAUUUUCCUAGCUGCAUCAGUUUACCGUCCUGUCUUUGAGGUAACCUGUCACAUACUCCCUCCGUCCUAAAAUAAGUGUCUCAAGCACAAUUUUGUACUAGAGCUAGUACAAAGUUGAGGCACUUAUUUUGGGACAGAGGGAGUACUUCCCUUGUAACUCCUACGAUCCUAUGUCUGUUUGAUUACUUGGUUCAUGAUGAUAUUUAUUCCAUUUUGCAGUUUAUGAAUAAAGUAGGAUUGAUGCUUCCUCGAAAGUACUCACAACUUGGGUAAUGUGCUAACUAUUUAAUUUGAUUCUGAUUCAUGUGUGAAAUUGUGCACCUGUACUCCUGCAGUUACUAUUACUAUUCAGUGUGUAUCUUAAUUCUGUUUAAUAACCUGAGUUAUAUAGGUUCAUUGAUGAUAUGUGGUGUAAUGUUUGUGUCUACCGCUCCAUGUUUUUGACGCCAGCCUUCUGUUUUCCCAGACAGUAGAGUUAGUAGUAUGUAUAAGUAGAGACGAACUCUACAUUAUUAUUUCUGGAUGUUCCUUAGCUUGGAUUUAAAGAUGUCACAAGCUUAGGCCUUGCCCAACGACUGAGUUGUUUUGAAGUUCUUUCCAAGAUAAGCUUGACAGAUCCAUUUGCUCAUCAUGCUUGGUCAUGUGAAGAAACUCCCCUAAAAGGAACCCUUAUAUGAUUUGCUGGCCAAUUUUCUCUCUCUAUAAAGACUAGAUCCUCCUGGCUUACUCGGCUUUCUCAUCGGACAACACCAUCUAAAACAAGGCUCUUUAUUGGAUUUUGACCAGUUUAUUUUCUUUUGUGAUGAUGCCUAUCUCUGGAUAGGAGUGCAGACAACAUAGAGAAGUAAAAGAUGGCAAAGAAGGCCGCAAAGCGAGCUGUGAGUGAAGCAAGGGGUUGGGCGUACGAGGACCUCUACCAACGGUUAGACACGAAGGAAGGCGAAAGGGACAUCUAUAAGAUGGUCAAGAUCCGAGAGAGGAAGACGAGGGAUAUUGACCAAAUCAAGUGCAUCAAGGACGGAGCAGACCAACUCCUGGUGAAGAACGAGGAGAUUAAGCAUAAAUGGCGGGAGUACUUUGACGAGAUGUUCAAUGGGGAGAGUGAGAGCUCUACCAUUGAUCUGGACGACUCCUUUGAUAAUACUAGCAGGCGUUUUGUGCGGCGAAUCCAGGAGUCGGAGGUCAAGGAGNNNNNNNNNNNNNNNNNNNNNNNNNNNNNNNNNNNNNNNNNNNNNNNNNNNNNNNNNNNNNNNNNNNNNNNNNNNNNNNNNNNNNNNNNNNNNNNNNNNNGUUAUUUUGGAAAUGCCUAUUACACAUAUCGUCCAAUACGUAUAAGGGGGUGAUUUUUUUUCCGUUGCAACGCACGGGCAUGUUUGCUAGUAGGGAUCUAAAAAUAUAGAAUUCCGAACAAACAAAAUAUCAGGAGAUAUCUGUAUCUUUGCAUUUGAAUUCAGUUUGUGCUGAGUCAAGCUGGCGAAGGUAGAUUGAAUGGGAGUCGUACCUCCGGUGGACUCAUUUGGCUUAGGUUACGGCCAAGCCCCCCAGACAUUUGCACAGAAGCAUCCUCUACCAAUAUAUAGAUUCAACCACAAUUCCUCCGCGUCUUCUCUUUCUCCGAUCGGUUUUUCACCCGGCGCUUGUGGGCUGAUCAUCCAAUCCCCCCUGACACCGCCGCAUAUGACUCGUCGCGCCUCCGUCACCAUGGUGGAACUGGAGUCGCAGAACGCGGCGACAAUGAAGGUGGCCUCGGGGAAGCACGUAACGGCCACCGUGGCGCUGCGUGUCGGGGCCGCCGUCGCGUCGCUGGCCGCCGCCGUCCUCGUCGUCACCAACCGGCAGGAACGCUGGGGCGUGGAAGUAAACUUCACCAUGUUCGAAGUCUGGGUGUACGUACCAUCGCCAAUGUCUCGCCAUGCAGCUAGCGCAUGCUCCUUCCUUCGUUCCUUCGUUAGCUAGAUCGAUCGGUCUCGAUCUCCCGUCUGCUUCUGCAACCAGCGGCUCGAGCGUGUCUGAUAGGUUCUUGUUUCGUGGGUGAGCAGGGCAUUCGUGGCGACCAACUUCUUCUGCACGGCAUACUCGCUGCUCACGGCGAUCUUUGUCAAGAAGCUCAUCGGCAAGCGCUGGCUGCACACCGUUGACCAGGUACGUUACGUACGGCAAGAAGAGAGAAAAAUAUCCAUCGUAGUAGUAAACCAUACGUCCAUGCUCGUCCAUGCAUCUGUGUUUGUGUGCCCUCAUCGAUCUCGACUGACGGAGGGCGCCGUUAUUCUCUGCUUUGUUGCGUGCAGCUGGUGGUGAACCUGCAGACGGCGGCAACGGCGGGCGCAGGGGCGAUCGGGUCGGUGGCCAUGUGGGGGAACAAGACCAGCGGGUGGUACGCGGUGUGCCGCCUCUACCGGAGGUACUGCGACGUCGGCGCCGUCGCGCUCGCGCUCUCCUUCGCCGCCUUCCUCUCUCUCGGAUUUGCCUGCGCACUCUCCCGUUACCCCAGGACGCCGGCCAGACACUGAUCAAUCAGUUAGGUUCAACUUCUUAUAAUCAGAUCAUGUAAAUUUCUUAGGAGUACAUUAUUUGUCGUUUUGGAUCUCAGUUACUAGUUGGUAGGUUAAGCAGCACUAUAAACUCAUGAAAUCAUGAGCAUGAAAGAUGAGACAGCGUAUAUGCACCUUAUAUACCAGUGUAAAAUUAAGCUAUGUGUUCUGAGGAGAAAAGUAGAGGUCUCUUACAAAAAAAAACACCGUGAAUAUGAUCCUCUGGAUCACGAUGCUGAAAACGAUAACGAACACAAAAAAAUAGCUGAGCAAUGCACGGCAUCAUGCUUAGGUGCGGCGCAGGAUGUCAUCUCCGUGCUGCGAGCAAGGAAGAAGGCUCAUCCGCCAUUGCUGCCGGCAUUGAGCGCUUCAUUCGACUUGACAAAACGGCCUUUCACGCGCUUCCGGGUAUCCGCCCUCAGCUUCCGGGACUCAUACCGGAUGUGCUUCUCGUACCUGCAGGGAGCACCAGAAACGCAUGAGAAAACUAUAACCAUCUAUUGAGUAAAUGAAGACAGGUUAUCUGCUCAUCGUUUCAUGCCUGCGAUUCUUCCUCUUCUCUUUGUACCGCUGCAUCGCGCUAUCCCUGUUUAGGGCGAGAGUCUCACUGUCGAUCCUUGUGGUAGGCCUCUCAGCUCCAGUCGGGACGAUUGUUUGAUCACCAAAGGAGAUCUCCCUAGUGGGAGCUGCUCCUCUGUCAUGGGAAGAGCUCGCCAAGGUCCCUGAAGCAGGCACGUUGCUCCCAGAGGUUGUUGGGCCAUCCAUUGUGGAGGUGCAUGAGCUAACCUUCAUUCGCUUGUUGCUCGCUGUGCUAACCUGCAAAGGAAAAACACAACAAAGGUCUCACAACUGCAACAGCAGACACAGAAAUUUUCAUUGAUGGAGACUCUCUACUUCUACACAAGAUGCAAAACAAAUAACACGUGGUGGACCUUUAUAUACAGCCAACUAUCAGCACUGACAAAAUUGCCCCUUGAUGUUUCACAAAGAAACAAGAUGACCCAUGAAUUGGUGGACCAAAGGAGCAUGGAACAAGGAUCUGUAUGGUGGCCUGUAACUAUCACUGUGAUUGAGAGCAGCUAAAAGCAUUCACUAAAUGGGACCAUAUAGCUAACUUUCACAAGAACAGACACUUCAAAAAUAAGAUUUUUUUUUUGCCCCCCAAAAAAGAAGAUAAGACUGAAUUAGGAACACAGCAGCCUGAACGCAUUCAAGAGAAAGUGGCACAUCAACAUCAGUGAAAGAUCUGUUACAUUGUCAACUGGAAAGUUAAUAGCCAAGAGAAACGACAGUGCGCAGAUGGGAUGUCAGUAUCAUUUUAAGCACGAUUCAGGUCAAGCAGUUCCUGGGGCCGUAUGCAUCUUAUUGAUGCAGAGACCGGAGGUAAGCCUCCUUUUCAAAAAAAAAAAAAAAAAGGUCGAGCAGUUCCUUUUCAGUAUCUUGUCAACAUUAAAUUUUGACCAACAGAUACUAAAAUUACCCCUAACUAAUUGCCUGGUAUCUAUCUACUAAUGCACAUAGGAAUAAAAACCAAUAAGCGCUGACUGCAAACUAGAGGACUCCUUGCGUUUGUAAAUAAGGCAUAUCCUAGCAGAGCAGUCAUGCUCGACUUUUCUGCUAGUUAUGAGGUUAUAGCACUGCAUACAAAAUAUUAGUAAAAAAUUGCAUGAUGCAUAUGAGAUCUUGUCGAUUCAAAUUCACGGGCUAUUAGCACCAUCGUGGUGUGUCAUAUUACGCACUUUAUUAUGCCGUGGUUUUUUUUUCUUUCAAAAAGAGGGCGAACACCCUCGGCCUCUGCAUACUGAACGUGCUUUAUAGGCAUAGGGAGAAAUAACUUACAUUUUUGGAUGGCACCUGGCAGAUAUUUGUUGACAUGAUAUCUUCAGCAGCUGCACCGUAUCCUGAGUCGUAAAUAUCUUCCAGAUCUUUCGUUGUCCCACAAGAAAUUUCCUUGAGCAUGUCACUGUAACUCUUGAUCAUAAAGCCUCCAUUGUUUGAACCAAAUCCAACUUCAUGUGCAGAUUUUUCAUUGUGGUUCCUUGAUCUUCCUAAAUUGAAAUCCCAUAUCUGCAGAUAGCAAGUACUGAACUGUUAGGGCUUUCAACAAUAAGCACAUUCCAGAGUAAGAUUGAGGAAAGUUAGAAGACUUUAAAGCAUAUCCAAUUAUAAGAAAGUGAUUCCUUCAAACCUAUCCUUUUGCCAAUGCAAACCCUACAAGCAAACUUAGGCGUACCGAAUACUAUUAUCGGGUGAAUUAAAACUGUAUAGACAGCAAUGUCGAUGUAGUUGGCAGAUUGAAUAAAUGGUGUUUGCCAUCAAUUCAUCAAGAUCUUUGAUCUGAUUUCCACCUAUUAGGUGAUCUAUUCCCUGUUCAAAAAGUCAAACACUCUAAAGAAUCUAGUAACAUGGCAAAUCAUACAAGAUACACUUUUUCAUAUCGCGAUAGCAACACCAGCUCAGAAAUUCCGGUCUAAUUUGCACUACUGGUAAAUGAGAAUACACCAUUCAUUAUCAGCCAACAUGCGCAUUCAAUGUCCUAAAAAAAUGGAUCCAUGAACCUCCAUGGCAACUGCAUUCUACUGCCCUUUCAAGUUGAAAGACCCGUACCAUAAAUGGUGAGCGAAUAAAGUGUAAAAAAAAUUCUACUCAAAACAAGUGAAACCAAUCACUUGUCUGGCUGACAAAAUCUAGGGCAAAACUAGAGCUGGAUAGUCCCUGAGAACCACAGGAGUCACGUACAAAGGAAUGGAAACUAAACUCUGAUGACUUUGGAACUGGCACCUUAUUAUUCAUCUGAAAGCCAAAUAGGUUUUCCAUGACCUAUGACCAGAGAUCAUGAUUGCAUUCCAUGAUCUGAUUGAUCAAUGGAUUAACCGGGAACUGCACAAAGUGGCAGCGACCAUGUAGCCUUCAACAAACUUGUUUGAUGAUCUAUUGUUGUUUGCUCAGGAAAUUAAGAUCAGAACAUUUCUCGUGACCGUGUAGUGUUAAUGCAUUCCCAGAAAACAUGUGAUGUUAAUGUGUGUCGGGCUAGCACGAUGCGGCUACCUGAAGGCAAUGCAACUAAUUUAGACACUCAUAAAGACACGCACAAAACAUUUGAUUAGUAAUACAAUUACAUGUGAAUUGUCUGAAUAGUGAAUACCCACAAUUGAUUUAUUUGUUUGCACAAUAGUAUUAUUCUCAUGUUUUUUACCUGGGUGGGUGGCACUGAUGAGGGUGGGGCGAACUCCCAUCGAAGUUGUUCUUCGUCGUCAUCAGGGAGCCGGUCGUUGCCGACAAGCUCGGCGCAGUGGGCUGACGGCAUCAUCAGCAGGGACGUGUACGGACACGGCACCUCUGGAGCAGGAGGCAGCGGCGGGGGAGGCUGCUUGUCAGGCAAGCGCCCGCUAGACCCGGCGGAGGACCGGCGAGGAGUCCUGGGGCUCAGAUCCGAGUACCCCUGCGGCUGCGACGUGUCCGUCUCUCGCCGCGCCAUCUCCGCGAGCUGGUCGCACAGCGCUUCCCCCUUGAGGGGCCGACCGCCGCCUGCCGAGACAGCCACCUCCGGCGGGUUGCAGGGCACGUAGAGGUCGCGCAUCUCGGGGUCAACCAGCAUGGAGUAGUCCAAGGACGAGAAGAAGAAGGCGUCCUCAUCCUCCUGGCCGGCGCCAGUGCCGAGGCCGCAACCGAACGCGGCGGCGCCACCGCCGCCAGGGAGGAGGUCGACGCGGCGAGCUCGGCUNNNNNNNNNNNNNNNNNNNNNNNNNNNNNNNNNNNNNNNNNNNNNNNNNNNNNNNNNNNNNNNNNNNNNNNNNNNNNNNNNNNNNNNNNNNNNNNNNNNNUUGGUUGGGAAAGGUUCAUGCUAGGACCAAUGGAAAGUUGAUCGCCAAAGAUAUUACCAUCAAAUUGUUGGUCGGGAAAGCUUCAACACCAGCGUCAGGUGAAAAUCGGUCGGCAAAGGUGUUGCCGUCAAACAGUCGGUCAGGAAAGAUUCAACUGCAAGUCGGUCGGGAAAGAUCCCUACCUGUGCCAUCAGAAAAUCGGUUGGCAAUGCUCUUCAGAGGCGUCAAACAAUCGGUCGGCAAAGAUAUGUCGGUCGGGAAAAAGGCUUUCCCGUCUGGAUUUACCCCAACAGACGCUUUCGAUCGGCAAUAUUCUUUGCCGACAUUAUUCUUUUCGGCAAUAUUCUUUCCCGACCGACUGUAUGUCAGCAAAGGCGGUUUUCCCGACCAACCUAUUUGUUGGAAAUGCAGUGUCGUGGAGUAGUGGGCGGAUCACCAGUGACUGAAAAAUAAGGUCGCAAUUUUACUAGCCCUGUCCAAAUCAAGCACCUAAAUGGCCCAGGCCCAACAAAUUUUGUGCUGCGUUCAUAAACCAAUAUUUGAUAUUUCAGCCCAUUACUAUUUUUUAUCUCCGUCAAGGUCUUGUUAUUGCACAGUUUUGGUACACAAGGCAUUGUAGAUAAUUCCAACGAAAGAACAUUAUGAUAAGUAGUUCCGUUCAUUUAAGCACAUCAUGGCACAUACUUUACAAACAUGCAUCACAUAAAAUAAUUCAACCUUCAACUCCACUACAAAUCCAACAAGUGUUGGUACUAUAUGACCAAUACAACCACUGUGGCUUCAAUGGAACACAUUAAAGAACAUAAAAUUAAAUUGUUCACAUGUAACAGCAAAUUGAGAAACCAUAGCAUCGUCUGUCUUCCACUUUCCACUUCUUCUGAGUAGCCAAUUCUGGAUUGAGGAACUUCCUCGCGUUAAAAGGAUCACAAAUGAGAAGAACAUACAGACCAGAAGGUUGUGGUUUACAUGCCUAUUAUCAAAUAAAGAAAUGUCAUUUCAUGUGGUUAAAUACUAUUCAAUACGGUUUGAUUCACAUACCGAUGCAAUAAAUAUCGCUAUACUCUGUAAGAAUAUUCUCAGGAAAAUGAAGCCAUGUGCAGUUAGUUUAACCAAUGUUGUGUUCUGAAAAAAUGACGGUAACUAAGACAGGCGUACAAGCUAAGGAAUAGCAAGCAACAGCUAAAAGCAUUGCCUUCCAUUUAUUUGCAGUAAUAAAAUCAUCAUAUGUUCACAAUUCGGAUAAGGAAAGAUAAUUUGCAGCUCCCCACUGUUGCUGGCCCCACUAGACACAGACUCCAGCAUAACGACACAUUUGAAAUCUCUCUUCGACAUAAAUAAAUGAGAGCAUAGUGCAAAGUCACAACAUAUUAUACAAACCAAGCUAGACCUAGGGUUUGUGGUGAGUGGCGUAAAUACCUGCACAUGGAGGCUGGAGUAGUUGAAGUUGGUGUACUUGGUACAUAAAUAAAAUGAGUUGCCAAGGGGCAGGUGAUGAUGGAAGGACGCCACCACCCAGCGCUUACAAUAAUUUGACCAUGAGCGACCAAUCAGGCAACAUACAUAUAAUAACAUGUAAAUAUGCAUAAUGCGCAAACACACAACAUUCCAAUUAAGCAGUUGCAGAGCACAAGUAAAAUUAAUGAUAGUAAUUUUAGCUCAUGGCCAAUUCUAGAAAUUAUAGUUAAUCAUUUCCUGCUAACACUAGAGACCAUGCCAAUAACAAGUAGCAAGUUUGUGAACAGUACAGUGCCUAAAUCGUAAAUAAUAGCCUACACAAACCCAACCAUAGCAUCAUUAUAAGUCAUGUAUAAAUAGGAGCACUAAACAGUAGACAUGGUUAGGAGAAGCAUUGCAACCAUGGGGAUAUUAGGACCAACAUAUACUCAACAACAAACUGAGCACAGCCAUAGCACACACAAGAGUUGUUAAACAUCCAUGUGAUUUCGGCCUCUUGGGGCAUGACCCGCUCCGGCAUCCAUGUGAUUUCCAAAUUAAGCUAACUUAAAUAUGGCAUGAUGUUGUACACUCAAAUAGUGCAAUAAAUUAAUAACAUAAGUAUAAUGUAGCCAGGUAUGUUGCACAGGAUAACAUAUUAAGUGUGUAUGCACGCAAUUGAUAAAUUGCACGUGUAUAAUUUGGCCAUAUGUAAUUAAGAAUGUUUAUCGAUAAUAGGCAAAGAUUUUCUAUCCUUUUUAUGUCCGCGUAUAUCUCUUUUGUUCUAAAUAAACAUGUGUCCAUCUAUAUCUAAAGUGAUUUAGAUUAUUUAUUUGUAUAGGAAAAAUUAAGUUUUUGAGUUUCCUUUUAACCAAAAUGAAAUGACAUCUAUUUAGAAGUCAAGGCUCAUUAAUAAGUAUAUAAAAUAUAACUUGUGGACUCAGCAUCAAAACAUGUACCAUUUUGUUCUUCAAAAGAAGAAAAGGAAUGGCAUGCAUACUUUGCUAAAAAGCAUGUGUACUUUUCUAAAAAUGCAUGGAUGACUGUAUUAAUUCCUGUUCAGGCCUUUGUUGAAAAUGAAAUGAGUUUUUUUUCAAAGAGCUGUUAUUGCAAGGAAUGAAUUUUUGAAUGCAUUGAAGAUGAAAAAAACUGACAAAAGAUCCGAAGUUAUGCCCAGACUUCAGAUAGAGAAUUGGAACCCACAUUAACAAAUGUGAUUCUUAAUGGGGUGAAAGCCUAGUUUUUGAUGACCAUCAGAAAAUUAGACACACUCGCUAGAAGUGUUCCGACCUUGUAUAAAGCGGGGUGAAAGUCUAGAAGUAGGGUACUCAUAAUUUAUCGGUUCCGACAGGGUGAAAAUCUGGAAGUAAAUUAGAGUGUAAUCUCUCAGACCAUUUCACAAUUCAGAGAAUUGCCUCUGGAUUUUAACCCCAGGAAUCACUAAACAUGUACUAAGCCAAACUAAUUCUUCACCAUAACCAAGAAUUCAAUAAAUAGUCUGACUGUACUGGACAAAUAUGUCGGCUAAUGUACUUUCAUCGCUACCAGCUGGCCAACACGUAACCAACAUGUAUCAAUUUCUUUUCCAGAUGUUUUGGCAAAUUGACAAGGGCAUGUUGUGCUGCAAGCUACUAGUAUCGCGACCCUCCGAGAGAAAGAAAGAAAAACUGAAUCAUGGCAUGACAAUAAUGUAAGAAAACAAUCAUGCAGAACAAAAUAUGAAUCUUGGCAUGACAAUAAUGCAAGAAAACAAUCAGGAAGGCCAGUGGGGGAGAAGAUGUGUGGAUAUACCUUGCCAACAAUGAUGAGCCAGCAGCCAUCCUUGGAGUUGUAUUUAGACACCUCCUCCAGGAUCAGCGCCUCAUCUCUCUUGCUCCCUGAAAACAUAAACUCAUUAAGCUAUGAACACCUCGUACAUGCAUGGAGGCAACGCAACUCACAAGUAUGGACAAGCAACACUUGUAUCCGAAAUAGAACAUCAAAUUUAUACAACAAGGAAUGUAGGGGAACCUAAAACAAGUUAUAAUUGGACCAAUGUAGCAAGCAAAAGUGGAAGGCGGGAAGGACAGAGGUACCUCGAUUCAGGAGGGGAAUAAAAGUAGGACGGCGGCGAUGAUGGCGAAGAUGUGCACGGUGGAGGGAGAAGCAGCGGCUGGUCUUUGUUGAACAUGCAGGUCCGGUGGCAGUAGGGGUAACUAGUGGCAUCCGUGGAGAAGCCGCGCCAAGCUGCAGGAGAGGCAGCUCGGACGACAUCUAGUUCAUGAUGGGAGAUGCAAAUCGGUGGAAGAUUUCCACGCACUCGGAGGUGGGAGGGGGAGAUCUGGACGGAGUGCUUCACGGGCGAGGCGGAUCUCAAACCACCGGCCAGAGGAGAGGAGGGACUCCGGUGGCCGAAGAUCAGGCGGGUGGCGGCGGCAGCGUCGAUGGAGAAAACCUAGGAGUUGGUGGAGGGUGGGUGUUGGGCUCUCUAAGAUCUGUGAGGCUCCGCAAUGAAAUGUCGGUGGUGGAGACUAGGUCGCGCCCCGAACCCUAGCCGCGGGGGAUGGUUGAGCGCGAGCGUUGGAGGUAGGGAGGGGCGGAUAUGGAUGGAGGGAUCAACGGAGCGGUACUAGGUGAGCUUCGCAGGAUGCUGCGCGCAGGCCAUGGCUGUCGAAGCUCGUCGGAAUAAGGUCGUCGGAGGCGGCGGCUAACCCUAGGGCGUGGGAGCGCAGAGAGAAGAUGCGGGUGCGGGGGAGAGUGCAAUGGGAGGAGGUAGGGUUUGGGUAGUUGGUUGCGGGUGGGUUUUUUUUCAUUUUUUCUGUAUAUAUUGUAGAUGGUUGGAUGGAUGUCAAAUGAAGAGAUGGAUGAAUGGAUGGACGCCACCUCACCGAUCCGUGUGAUAACUAAUUCCAUCAAUUAGAAAAGAGCACAUGUAAUUGUGUUUUUCUUUUUUUGUUCUUCUAUUUUUUCACAUGAAAAAUUCAAAAACAUAUUUUUUAUUCUACAGAGGGGUUCAUAUUGUAAUGGCAAGCAAUGUUUUCAAAGGGAGUUCUCAUUUUCUUUGCAUGAAAAUUUCGUUUUUCCUUUUUCGAGUGUUCAAAAUGAGUUUUUUUGUGAAGGACCUAUCAUAUAUUUUUUGCAAAUUUGGUCCAAAUCAAUUUUCUAAAAUACUAGGUCACAUUAAUGUCCAAUUGAACAAAUUGUUGGGUGCCAAAAUCUUCCGGUCGACCUCUAGUGAAAAAGACAAAUUUCCACUCAUUCAGCUCGAAGCGGGUCAAAUUUGAAAUACAACUGCCUUAUAGUUUGCUCAUGAUUUUUUGCAAAAAAACAUUUCAAGGUACAAAAGUAUCUAUUUAAUCGGAGAACAAAAAGUUUUCCAAGAUUCAACCACUAGUUAGGAACAGACAUCGAGGACCUACAAUACGGGUAUAAAUAGAGUUACACAUGCCGGUGACCAUUUUGUGUAAUGGGAUUAUGACCUUCUUGAUAGAGAUGGUCAAAAUUUUAUAGGGUUUGGACCCUCUUAGACACCUCAUGACGUUUUCGUAAAUUAUAGUCAUAGAUCUAUGACCAAUUCAACUGUGGUCGUUAUUUUUUGUCAUGAACAAGUUUAUUUCUUGUAGUGCUUGUGAAGUUUAAGACUUAGGAAUUUUAAUAUUACACCUCUUCUAGCUCAAAAAAAUUAGGAUCAUGCGGGUAUUUUGAAAUCUAUAUGAUUCGAGUGUGAUGGAAUUCUGAUUUGAUGCCUCCUGUCUGAAUUGAUUUCUUCCGGGGAGUUGAGCUCCAAGGGGUUUUCGACACAUCGUUAUCAUUCAGCUUACUUAGUAUCUCAAGAAGCAGACCUUGAAACGCAACUAUACUUUGCAUGGUGGCAAAUAAUUCCGUGACUUUUCCCCAGUACUGGUGGAGAUAGAUCGGAUGAUCUACCUGGUUUGGUAUCGUCUUUGUUUUGAAAGUCUGGGGUGGAUGAUUUUGCGGAACUUCUCGGAUAUGUGUUGAUAGUUGCAGGAAAGGUGUAGCUGAUUACAUUGAGUAGGUUCCCCGACCCACAACAUGAUAGCAUAACAAAUAAAGAUAUCUGAAAUUCUCACGUGGGGAUUGAAGUAGUCACCUGGAAAAAUCUUUCAUCGGAUGUAUGUUGGGACAUACAUUUGUUCCAAGCAAUUCUAGCUCAAACUGGACAAUUGCAAGCGGCUUUCAAUCAUAUGUUGUCGUCACUAAUUUCAUGGAAGCAUUCUUACUAAUUCUAGUUUGAAUGCAAAUUUCUAAGACUUUAAGUUGCAAUAUUCAAGCCUUUGAUUCAGCUUACCAGCUUCAUCUUUUCAUCCAUGAUCUAAUAUUCAUGCCCGUCUCGAGGAUGGCUCGAGCAACUCGCCAGAAUCCAAGUCGUGAUGGGGAGCAAUCAGACCCUCCGCCACCCCGUCCUCCUCCUCCGGAGGUGUGGCAAGCUUUGAUGGCUACAACCAAUGCAAAUAGUCAGAUGCUGCUUCAAAUGAUGCAAGAGAGGAACCAAGGCGAGCAAGGGAAUUUCAACAACUAGCAGUUGUUUGCUUAUCUCAAUCAAUUCCUUGCAAAUCGACCCAAGUCCUUCACCUGUUGUGAUCAGCCGUUUGAUGUGGGAGAUUGACUAUGCGACAUGAGAAAGCAUUUCGAAUGCAGCAAUAUGAGGCGUGAGGACUAUGUCAGAUUAGCUACAUUCCAGCAGAAUGGUGGCGGAAGCUCAAGGAUUCCAAAGGUGGCCAUUUGAUUAGUUGGGAUUACUUUUGUCCUGAUUUUGGAGUCAUCAUAUUCCGGCAAGCUUUGUUGAGGGUAUGCGUGAGAAGUUCAAGAAUCUCAACAAGGAGGCUCAUUUGUUUAUCAUUAUAACAUCGACUUUCAAAACUUGGCCCGUUAUGCUAAGGAGGAUGUUCCUGAAGAGAAGAGCAAGAUCUAUCAAUUCAGAGGUGGUCUCAUGGAAGUUUGCAGCUUUCUCUUACCCUACACAACCCUCCUGAGUUUGAUUAGUUCUACAACUUGGCUCUCAGCUCUGAGUCAGCUCUGCUCGGGGUCGAGAAUUCAAGAGAGUGCUUCAGAGACUCUCAUUUUUCUUCAUCCUCACCUCAGAUUGUUCGAAAGUAGCAGAAGUUUUGGGUUCCUCCUCCGCCUCGUCCUCAUCAACAGUUCAAGUAGAACGGUGGUCGUGGAUGUUCCCACCCACCCAACCCAGGUUUCCAACAGAAGUCUUAGCCCCCCAAGUCAGGAGCUCCUCCAGCUCACUUCCGUCCACUGUCAGAGGUUACUUGUCACAAGUGUGGUCAGAAGGGCCACUACUCCAAUAAGUGUACCAACCAGCGACGUCUUCCACACCCUCCUCCAAUUAGGCACCCAAGCAAUGCAAUGGCGAAGCAUAAUCACAAGUCUGCAAGAGUGAACAUGGUAAAUGCAGCUAAAGCGGAGGAUUCCUUAGAUGUGAUUAUUGGUAAACUCUUGGUUAAUUCUUUUCCCGCAAAGGUUUUAUUUGAUACUAGUGCAUCACAUUCAUUCAUGUCUAUAACUUUUGCAUCCAAGCAUAAUUUUCAUGUGAUGGAGUUACCUAGGCCAUUAUCGGUUGUCUCUCCGGGAAAAUUAAUGCAUGCAAGCACGAAAGCCUCAAAUGUUUCAAUCAAGAUCGGCAGUUAUUCUUUUCUGGCUUAUCCAAUUGUUCUCGGCAAUUACGAUAUUGAUCUUUUUCUUGGCAUGGAUUUUCUGGCGAUGAACAAGUCUUAUGUCGAUUGUGAAGCCAAAGAAGUCAAAUUGACUCGUCCUUGUGAAGACGUGAUCAUUUUCGCCACUCGCGAUGACACAAUCCGUCUGUUUUCUCUCAGUGAGAAGGGUGAAAUCUCAGCCAUUUCUCAUGUUCCUGUUUUCUGUGAGUAUCAAGAUGUCUUUCCAGCGAAAUUUCCAGGAAUGCCUCCUCGCCGGCCAGUAUAGCGUGUGAUUGAACUUCAGCCUGGAACUGAAACGGUUUGCAAGCAUCCUUAUAAACUUGGUCCCGAAGAGUUGAAGAAGCAACUAGAUGAACAAGAAUGUAUGGGUUUCAUCAAACCAAGUUAUUCUCCUUGGGGUUGUGGUGUUCUUUUUGUGAAGAAGAAAGAUGGCACGGACCGACUCUGUGUCAAUUACCGCCCAUUGAAUAAGAAGAAAAUCACAAACAAGUAUCCACUUCCUAGCAUCAAUGAAUUGUUUGAGAAAUUAAAAGGGGAGAAGGUUUUCUCCAAGCUUGUUCUUCGGAUGGGCUAUCAUCAAAUCCUCUGUCGUGAAGAAGAUAUUCCUAAGACUGCUUUCAGGACAAGCUUUGGCUCUUACGAGUACACAUUGAUGUAUUUCGGUCUCGCCAAUGCUCCUCCGACUUUCUCUUGCAUGAUGAGUUAUGUCUUCUCUCCCUUCAAGAAUGAAUUCGUCUUGGUGUAUCUUGAUGACAUUCUAGCCUUCUCACAGAUUGAGGAAGAACAUGCAAAACAUCUCCGGCUUGUGCUAGAUAAGCUAAGAGAGCAUAAAUUCUAUGCUAAGUUCUAAAAAUGUGAAUUUUGGCUUAAUGAAGUGGUGUACCUUGGGCAUAUCAUCUCUCCCAAGGGCAUCAAGAUGGAUCCUAAAAAUGUUCAAGCCAUUGUGAAGUGGGAGCCUCCUCAGAAUGUCAAGCAGCUUCAAAGCUUUCUCGGGNNNNNNNNNNNNNNNNNNNNNNNCGUUGAGAACUUCUCCAAGAUUGGUAAGCCUCUAUCCAACCUUCUUCAGAAGAGCGUAAAAUAUGUUUGAACUCCAGAGUGUGAUUUGGCUUUCAAUACACUCAAGGAGAAGCUCACCUCGGCUCCAGUUCUAACUCCUCCUGAUGACUCCAAGCCAUUCCAAGUUUCGUGUGAUGAUUCUUUGCAUGGUCUUGGUGGUGUUCUCGUGCAAGACAACAAAGUGGUAACUUAUACCUCGUGUAAGUUGAAGCCAAGUGAGAAAAACUACCCUACUCACGAUGAUGAGUUGGCGGCAGUUGUCCAUGCUUUGGUUACUUGGAGACACCUCUUGUUGGGAAGACAUGUUGAAGUCUACACCGACCACAAGAGUGUGAAAUACAUCUUGAGUCAGCCGAAUCUCAACCUUCGUCAAACUCGUUGGGUGGANNNNNNNNNNNNNNNNNNNNNNNNNNUUGACUAUACUCCAGGCAAAGCAAAUGUGAUGGCACAUGCUUUGAGCUGAAAGGUGUCGGCGUCAAAACUGGCAGAUCUCGGGUAGGGGGUCCCGAACUGUGGGGUUUAGAUUGAUGGGUUACAGGAAAGAGGGGGAGACGAUGUUUACCCAGGUUCGGCCAUCUUGAAGAGGUAAAACCCUAUGUCCUGCUUGAUUAUAUUGACGGGGAACGAUUGUUACACAGUUGAUCUUCCUCGAGAUCGUAUGAGCUAAACCNUAGAUGAGAUAACCUGCCUCUAUGCAGAAGAGCCCCUGGUUUAUAUAGACACCAGGGCCCCUAGGGUUUACAUGUUACCGACUUAGAUCGGGGGUAGAUGGGCCGAACUGGUCCUCCUGUCUUGGAUUGUACGCCUAGUAUUUGGAGCUUUCCAUCUUAAUUACACAGUUGUGAGAUAAUCUGGUCUUCAAUGAUGUCACCGAUAUGAUCGGCCCAUAAGGGACGACCUGAUUGCCCGAGGACCCCUUAACCCGGAACUCCCUCAAUAGCCCCCGAACUGGCCUUCAACGUCGAUGUGUAAAGUCUUUGACAACCAAGCACGUAGACAAACCGGCUUGCACGACGAGUUCCAUUUAUAUUCGGCUGGUAUCGGUUUAGUAGCUCCAAUGACGUAGUACCCUCAAAAAUGGGUGUCAUUAAAUCCAAAGGCCUUUAAAGGCCCGAAGGUGAACAAUAGUCUAUCUGACAACUCUUCUGACAAAAAUUUGUGAUGACAAAAUAUGAGUAAAACUCGAGUCGCGGCUCAAGGCCACUUCCCCGGGGCACGUUCUAUCAACAACAGAGAUCGUGUCCCGUACUUAAGGGGAUUCUAAUUAAUGACCCGAGCCAACCUNNNNNNNNNNNNNNNNNNNNNNNNNNNNNNNNNNNNNNNNNNNNNNNNNNNNNNNNNNNNNNNNNNNNNNNNNNNNNNNNNNNNNNNNNNNNNNNNNNNNAAUAGUUUUGACUCUGCAGAGGGUGUACUCUUUACCCAUAGCUCAUGGUUUUCAAUAGUCGACAAGAAUAAUCCUACAUAUGGCAUUUUAGAAGUGGACACUCAGAAUCAGCACACACCAAUUUUCCUCCGCGAAGCCAGGCUUCAUCCGGACAAAGCUGCCAAGGCAAAACCAUAAGACNNNNNGGCUCCGACCUCGACUAGCAUGCGAUAAAAAAUUUAUACAGCGCACUCACUAGGAAGGGCCAUUCCCUUCGGGUCCCAGAUCGAAAACACACAUGCCCCCUGACCGUAUGACUGGAUUUAGACCACACCCGUGGAUACCUUCAUGCCGGCCCCUCUAAUUGGGGUGUGACUAAUAAUAGGUCUACAACUGACUAUACCGAACCCAUUAUCCAGGGAACUGUGGUAGCACGAUAAGAAGCAUGCCAUGGACAAGACUCGAUCUAGGUCCAUACUGGAGUUUGUCAAAAAUUUCCGGCAUCGUUGUGCUCAUGUCAUGACCAGGCCAUAACCUAUCACAUUCCGCGUGACUAGGUUAUUCCACGACCUCUCAUAACCAGCACAUGCCAUCACCAUAUUUCACCAUUGUUAUAAUGUGAGUAACAAGCAUGAAUAUGCAAAGUAUUAUUUCAUGUGAAACUAUUAUGAAUAUAACCUCAAGUCACGCGAUAUAAUUACCACCACAAUCAUCACAAAACUUAUGCAAAUGUGGAUUCAAGAUGCUUGCCUUAGGGGUUUGAGGAGGGUGAUGUGUGCCCCAUCAUCUUGGAGGAGGUAUCCACUCUUCAAAUCCCUAGUUUGAAAAUAUUUGAAUCAACACACAUAUCCAAAACAGCACACAAAAGUUAUUUGGAAAAUUUUAAAAUAAAUCCUGAAAUAAACUAGAUGAAAUUCUAUACCCUUAGGAAAAAGAAUCAAUUUAUUUGGAGUUUCCUAUAAAAACAUAUAGCUAGUCAAACCUACUGGUCAAAUCUGUUUUUUAAAACAAAAAUAAAAGAAAAUGCUUCGGGAGCAAUACGCUUUCUAACAGGGGAAGCGCCUUCGCUGAGACAGCUGCCAGGAAAUGUGUUUUACUAAAUAGAACAUGCACCAGGGGGUUUGGUGCCACUUGGGCUGCAGCUGGCUCACCGACUGGUGGGGGGCACGUGUCGGGUUCUUCCCCCACCUCCCGCGCACGCACUGGACAGGGACAGAGCCGCACUCCAGCGAUGAUUGACGGUGGAACAAAGCAUCUCCCUCCAUGCUCCUGCUAUGCACGUGCUCGGGAAGGAACGCCGCAUCCAUUUUUACCGCUUCGGGCCGCUGUGGAGCUCGAGGUCGAACGACACCUCAACAAUGGCGGAUGGAGCUACUGUCUUCUCGCUUCUUCGGUCUUAGGUGGCUCUCGGCUCUGCUCGACGGUGGGAACGGGUCCCUUGAGGUCUUGGUAGGCUAGCAGGGUCAGUAGGAGGAGGAGAUGGGCUCGGGGCUGCCGGAAUUUAGCCGGAGGCCGACAGCGACGCUAAAAACGGAGAGGCGCACAUGGGACGGCUCGGGUUAAAUUAGGCGAUGGCGAGGUAAGCUGGUGGUCUCGGGAGGUUGCUGCCAUUGCUCAAAGGGUUUGAGGGCUCCAUAAAUAGCCAGAGUACGUCGGUUCCGCGGCGGCCUCGGGAUAAAAACGACGGCAUCAUCUCUGGCGAGGCUCAGGCACAGCAGGGGCAGCAGAGCUCAGCAACAAGGGCGGCAGGGCAGCAGUGCAGCCGCAAACCACGAUGGGGAGGGGUCCAGGGCAGGUGGAGCACGAAGGGGACUCAGGAGGCGCCGACCAUGGCAGUAGCAGACGGGAAACGACAGCGAUCGCCCUGCCGUUACUCUGCUCGCACAGGGCGACGACUGGUUAUCGGGGGAAGAGAGGGUUGACGCGGCUCUUCAUCUGGUCCAGAGGGCAGGGUCACGGGGACGCGACGGCUCGGACAUGCGCGUGCAAAACGUUCGCUCUGGGAGAACCCACAACCUGCACAACACAUGUUCGACGAAUUGCC